GAGCAGCAGGAUGUACACAGCUCGAAACCUGUGAGCUACUCACAGCUCGAAACCUCUGAGCUACUCACAGCUCACAAGGCAGUAAGCCCGAGCGCCUGACGGACGAUGGCGUCCUUCGCUAGAGCUGCCCGUUUCAUGGUGCUCUUCCAGAUCGCGCUAUUCAUCGUUUCCGCCGUGUUCAUGAGCAGUUCCGUCUGCCACGGUGCCCGCGAGCUCAAAGGUCACUGCUUACAAACUGUUCGUUUCAUGUUUUUCCAUCAUCUUGAAACCAAUCAUGUUUGCUAAUGCUUGCGUUCUAAAUAACUCUCUGCAGCGUCAAUCGGUACCGGGACUCUGGACCCUAACCGUCCUGCUGUGUGCAUCCGCGGACCGUGCCCACAGCCUGGCGGACCCUACACCCGUCCGUGCGGAGUACGUAACUGCCCACCGGCUGGCCAACCCUAACGCCCGCUCCCGAACAAUGGAAGGAUUAUUAUCAAAAAAUAAAAAAGAACAAUGGAAGGAUUACACGGCCUUGAUGCAUAUGCCUCCCUCGACAAGUAAAAGCUACCGCCACGGCUUUAUUAUACUGAACCGAUAAUAAUAUGCCUACUCGUGUACUUGCAUGUUUUACUACUCUGAAUAAAAUUGGCUAUGUCUGGGCCGUGAGAUAUGAAUGGUUGUUCGGUUCACAAAUAAAGAUCUAUCAGAUUCGGUCUAGCGACAAGGCUCUUCUCGCUCUAUUGACUAUCAUUGUACCUUGCUAGGCAUGAAGGCUGCAGGCCUAUGAACGGGAACGUUUGCCUCCUGUGUGUAUCUACAUCUUAUAUGACACAAAUAACAAUUUAAUAAAUAGUUGGAAAAUUUUAAAAAUAUUUUUAAAAUAAACUGGACAUUUCAUUUUAUUUGCGAGAAAUGUUUCAUAAAAAGAAAAUUACCCAUUGACUUCUUUUCAAAAAUAUAAAAUUUUGGUCAAAUUAGUGUGAAUAGUCAUCUAUAGUAGCAAAUAAAUUUGGUAAACGCUUGUGGCUAGUGCGUUCGGCCGGCCACACGCGGCCCGCGCCCGAGCUGACUAGCAUGUAAUUUUUAUCCCGUUUAAAUUUGUUGCAACCAUCGUUCAUAUUUGCUAUAAACGUUUUUUAUUUGUUACAUAUGUUCACUAAAAAAGUUGCAUUCAUGGUUGAUUGCAACUCGAGUUCGUCGGAUUUUUGCUACAAUCGGUGUUUUGACCUUUGCUACAACCGUGUUAGUUUUUGCUAUAUUCGACAUAAUUUUUUGCUGCAACCGUUCAUUAAGAAAGUUGCAUACACGUAUACGUAGAUAUUUGCUACAACCGACGUUUGACUUUUGCUACCACGCACCAUCAACUUCGUUUUUUACUACGAUCAUGUAGGUAUUUUUUUUUGCUACAAUUUUUUUUGUUACAACAGUUGACGAAAAUUGCUGCACCGCGCCAAAAAUUGUUGCAUCGAAAAAAAAAUUGCUGCAUGAAGAUCUAACGGUGCGGCCCGCCUACAGCUGACGGAUUGGACGGUUCCAGUAUUUUACUCUCAUUGCACGAGGCAGUCUUGUAGACUGAAUCUGGAUUUCAAAGUCUUAACACAAUGGCAGUCACGUUGUCCAUAUUUAUUAGCUCUGAAACGAGCUUUAACGUUCGCAUAAGCAUUCGUAAUUUCAUACCAGGGCCAGGCUUGCAGUUUUAUUCAUAGUGCUAAACGUAGGUACUUGUAACAGCGGAUAUUACUCUCGGUUCAGUAAGGUUGUCGCAGCAGCUUGUGCUGCUAGACUGCUAUGACAGAGGAAGGGGUCCAUCAAGGCCGUCCGAUCCCUCCAUUGUAUGGGGAAGGGGAUCCGCGGGAGGGACGGCCGGGGUAUCGCCCCGUAGGCCUAGGGCACGGACGUCCUCCCAUGCACGCAGGACGGUUUGGGUUCAGAGAACCACCUGGAAGGAAAACAAGCAUCCAUGGCUUUUAAUACUGAAUUUCAGAACGCAGGAAUAAGAAUCUUCUUUCAAGGAGAAGACGAAGAUUGACGAAGAGGACGAAAUAAACAGUUUGGAAGCGCUAACCGCUGAUGCUGCCGGCUCCGUGGCAGACGGAGCUGCUCAUGAUCACGGCGGAGAUGACGAAAAGCGCGAUCACCAUGAAGCGUGCAGCUCUCGCGAAGAACGCCAUCGUAAUGUGGUAGGCUGCUUACUAUGUUGCGAGUUGUGAGUUGUGAGUAGCUGGAGACUAGGAGCUGUGUGUGUAUAUCCUGCUGCUCGCGGAAGGCCCGUAUUUGUAGAUGCCGACCCCCAUGGAAAUGAAAAAGAUCGCUUUGGCCCCCUUAAUUUCAUACUCUCCCUCCACUUUUAAAUACAAGUCUUUUUAAACGUAUUGCUAGUGAACUACAUACAGAGUAAAAUGAAUCUACCUUUAAAAUAUGUCAAUAUCCAUCUGUAUAUAGUUUUCUACUAAAACCUUUAAAAGACUUGAAAUAUUUAGAAACGGAGGGAAUAGGAAAUAAUAAUCACGCUAUUUUUGACGGGCACACGUAAGUGUUUGCUCAAAUUUCCACGGCCCCUUAGUCCGGCUUGGUGAGUGGUGAGGUCACACCUUGGCCGUGCACGACCGGCGAGGAGGAAAUGUGGGAGCCAACGACCCGAGUCUAGGUCGUCUUGUCGAGCAGGAAAGCUAUAUGUAGUGGCGUAGUGCUCCACUCGCCUCGCGUUUCCACGCAUGCGUCCAUGCGCUGUGCAUGCCAUGUUUCUGUCUGACGUCUAACCUUUUUGAUAUACUUGAGCACUGAAUUGUUUCGAUAUGCUUCUCUAUGCGAUGUUCCGGACUAACUUUGCGAUGCAUGCAACUACUCCACUAUGCAAUUGCUCUCUGUCAAUGAUUAUUCGAGAGCAAUGCUUAUGAUGUUUUUUUCAGGGACAUCAAUGUUUACGAUGUUGGUAGCGCCUUCGAUUAUAAUUUUGAAUCAUUGAAUUUAUACCCUUUGUUCUGCCGUACUUGAACUACAAAAGAAAUUCGAGAACUUGCAGCUCGCAAGGAAUGAGCUCAUGAAUCGGGGAACUGUCCUAUACUACCGUGCCUUAAGCAUCAACCAUAACUUACAAAUUCGGACCAUUAAACGUGAGUGAACGUAUUCGGACGCACCCGUGAACAUUCAUCAGUCAUAUCUUAAAUCUGGUCGUUCACAUCUCACUUUUUAUAUUUUAUCUCUUAGAUCCAAACAAAAUCAUACAAAAUGAAUAGCCUAUGUACUACUUAGUAUAUGCUGUAAUUUUUAUCUAUUUUUAGGUCAGCCCAAUAUAUAAUUUCAGAAAUUCGUAAUAAAUCCUAAAGGGCCACGCAGCCCAUUUGUACAAGGCAAGAGGUGAAAAUGUUUAGCCCCACAUUGCUUGUUUAGUGAGAGUUGCACCUCCUUAUAAGGGAGGAUGUUUCCACACAUGUAUGAGACACGCGCGUUCCUCCUCCUCCGCCCGCCUCGUCACGACGCUGGUUGCGGGAACGAGCCGAACUAAAUUUUUGCCACGCACGACUGGUAUACGAAAGGUCACUCAGAAGCUGAACGCUGCACCCUUCAGCUGCUGUCUGUUCGUUUCGUCUCCCUCGUUCUCUUGGGCUCCCGUCGCUCGCCUCUCGCCUCCUUCUCUUGCGCCUAUAAAAGAGAGGUCGCUCCUCUCCAGAGAAACGUAUCAGAAUUUCCUCUCACCACCGGUUCCAUUUCUCUGUGCUGCUGCUACGUUCUUCCCCAUCCCAACUUGCGGUGUGCAUCGUAUGUCGAGACAGUAGGACUCCGAAACUCCGUCUCUUCGAGUCCUGUACGGGAGAAGGGCAAUAAGAUUUUUGAGGAGCGCUCAGCGCGACUACUGGCUUCCGUCACGGACACCGACGAUCUCUUCCCGGAUGACGACUUCUUCCCCGACGUCGACCACCUCUUCGGUAACAUGGCCAACGACAACGCCAACACCAACCCUACAGCUGCUGCAACUCAGUAAGUGUUCAUGUUCCUUUUCUUUGAGUUCCUGCCGCAACUUCUUGCUCCAGUUUCACUUCUAGAUAUGUUCUGUUUCUGCUCAUCCUUUCAUAUGAUGUUUUGUGUACAUAGAACGACUCUAUAUAUGUUCUCUUUUAGAUCAUAUGUGCACAUGUAUUUUGUCGUCUCAUCUCUAUAUUGCCUGCCUUGUUUCAUCUAUUUUAUGAUAGUCAUGUUUUCUCUAUCUUUUCUGUUAAUAAAAUCCUAUGGUAAAUUGCUCAUAGUUCGAACAAUCCAAAAAUCUUAUUAUAGGCAAUUUACCCCGAGUGAUUUUUUUUGCUUCCAUGAGACCUCCUAUUUUUGAGGGUAUCCACUAUAAGAGGUGACGCGUGAGAACUGUUCUAUGGUUUCAAACCAUCAGCUGCUAUGACACCACUGUUGGCAAACCUGAAGGAGAUCAUGAUGCUCAACAGGAACUAGCUUUUCACAAAAUGGAUACCUUGUUUAAGGCUGCUCUCUUGAGCGUUCUUGGUGAGAACAUAGUUGAUGCUUAUGCGUCAAUUGAUAAUGGAAAAGAUAUGUGCGAUGCAGUCGAGGCCAAGUUUGGGGUCUCGGAUGCUGGCGCUGAGCUGUACAUCAUGGAACAAUUCUAUGACUAUAGGAUGACUGAAGAGCGCUCCGUGGUUGAGCAAGCUCACGAGAUACAGUCAUUUGCAAGAGAACUUGAGCACUUCAAUUGCAUGCUACCGGACAACUUUGUUGCCGGAGGCAUCAUCAGUAAACUUCCUCCUUCGUGGAGGAACUUUGCUACCUUACUGAAGCAUAAGAGGCAGGAGUUUUCCGUUCUGGAUCUCAUAGGUACUCUUGAUGUGGAAGAAAAGGUGAGAGAAAAAGACACACGUGCUCGAGGUAUUGAGGAAGGAUCUAGUGCCAAUCUGGUACAGAAGAAAAACUUCCAGCCCCACAAUUUCAAGAAUAAGGGCAGGUCUGAUGGUAAAGCAAAGUUCGAUGGGAAGAACAAGGCUGUACAACACACCAACUUCAAGAAGAAGAAUGACAAGAAGAAAGGCGUUUGUCAUGUGUGCGGAGAUACUGAUCAUUGGGCACCUAACUGCCCUAACCGUUAUGACAAGCGUCAACAUGGGAAAGACGACAAGACCACUAAUGUUGUCAUUGGUGACACUGACGUGGUGGAUGUUGGGUAUGGUAUAUUUCCCACUAUCCUUUCAGUAUGUCAUUUUCCCGAUUGGUUGAUUGACACAUGUGCUAAUGUGCAUGUAUGUUGUGAUGUUUUCAUGUUUUCAUCUUAUCAGUCCACAGGGACUUCCACCGUGCUGAUGGGCAAUGGUUCAAGUGCUUCUGUUCGUGGUGUUGGCAUGGCCGAUCUGAAAUUUACUUCGGGGAAGGUCGUGCGGCUGAAGAACGUGCAUUAUGUCCCCUCCCUGAAUAAAAAUCUUGUUAGCGGAUCUCUUUUGUGUAGAGAUGGCUACAAGCUUGUCUUUGAGUCGAAUAAAUUUGUAAUAUCCAAGUAUGGAACUUUUGUUGGUAAAGGCUAUGAGUCAGGAGGCCUGUUCCAUUUAUCCUUGGCUGAUGUUUGCAAUAAAGUUGUUAAUCAUGUUUGCAACAAUAGUAAAUCAAAUGUGUGGCAUUCACGUCUCUGUCAUGUUAAUUUUGAUUGCAUGUCGCGACUAGCCAAAUUGAACUUAAUCCCUAGCUUCACCAUUGUCAAGGGAUCUAAGUGUCAAGUUUGUGUGCAAGCCAAGCAGCCUCGUAAGUCUCACACGACUGCCGAAACGGGAAACCUUGCACCACUAGAGCUCAUACAUUCAGAUCUAUGUGAAACGAAUGGUAUUUUGACAAAAGGUGGAAAAAAUAUUUCAUGACGUUAAUUGAUGACUCCACUAGAUACUGCCAAGUGUAUCUUCUGAAAUCUAAGGAUGGGGCUUUGAACUUUUUCAAGAUCUAUAAAGCUGAAGCGGAAAACCAACUUGAUCGAAAGAUCAAGAGGCUUAGGUCCGAUCGUGGUGGAGAGUAUUUCUCAAAUGAAUUUGAUUCUUUCUAUGCGAAACAUGGUAUAAUCCAUGAGAGGACGCCUCCCUAUUCACCUCAGUCAAAUGGGGUAGCCGCAAGAAAGAACCGUACUCUAACUGAUUUGAUUAACGUCAUGUUAGACACAUCAGGUCUCUCCAAGGCAUGGUGGGGGGAGGCAAUAUUGACUGCAUGUCGUCAUGUCCUAAAAGGAGUUCCCACAAAGAACAAAGAGAUAACUUCAUUCGAGGAAUGGGAGAAGAAAAGGUUAAAACUCUCUUAUCUACGAACCUGGGGUUGUUUGGCGAAAGUUAAUGUGCGAAUUCAAAAGAAGCGCAAGCUAGGACCAAAAACUGUGGAUUGUGUUUUCCUCGGAUAUGCUUUUCAUAGCAUUGGAUAUAGAUUCUUGGUUGUAAAAUCUGAGGUAUCUGACAUGCAUGUCGGUACAGUCAUGGAGUCAAAUGAUGCGACUUCCUUCGAAAAUAUCUUUCCUAUGAAGAAUAUGGCUACCUCAUCUAAUAAGGAGAUGCCUAAUUCAUCGAAUCAUGAAUUAGUUACAAUUACUGAACCUAUCAUUUUGAUGGAACUUUUUGAAAAUACUGUGGAGGAGAACAAUGAAGUUCAAAUCAGGAGCAAGAGACAGAGGACUGCAAAGUCCUUUGGUGAUAAUUUUCUUGUGUAUCUCAUAGAUGACACUCCCAGUUCUAUUUCGUAGGCCUAUGCGUUUGAAGAUGCUGACUACUGGAAGGAAGCAGUCCGUAGUGAGAUGGAUUCUAUCUUGACAAAUGAAACUUGGGAGAUCACUGAUCGCCCUUAUGGGUGUAAACCUAUAGGAUGCAAAUGGGUAUUCAAGAAGAAGCUUAGUCCUGAUGGUACUAUCGAGAAGUACAAGGCACGACUCGUGGCUAAGGGUUAUACCAAAAAGGAAGGUGAAGACUUCUUUGAUACUUACUCACCUGUGGCUCGACUGACCACCAUUUGAGUACUACUUUCACUAGCCGCCUCACAUGGUCUUCGCAUUCAUCAAAUGGAUGUGAAGACUGCUUUCCUAAAUGGAGAGUUGGAUAAGGAAAUUUACAUGGAACAACCAGAUGGGUUUGUAGUAGAUGAACAUGAAGAAAAAGUGUGCAAGUUGCUGAAGUCUUUAUAUGGACUUAAGCAAGCACCCAAGCAGUGGCAUGAGAAGUUUGAAAGAACUUUAACAGCUGCAGGCUUUGUUGCAAACGAAGUUAAUAAAUGUGUGUACUAUCGCCAUGGUGGGGGCGAGGGAGUUAUCCUUUGCUUGUAUGUUGAUGACAUACUGAUUUUCGGAACAAAUCUGAAUGUUAUUAAGGAGGUCAAGGAUUUCCUAUCUCACUGUUUUGAGAUGAAGGAUUUAGGAGUGGUUGAUGUCAUUCUGAACAUCAAGUUGUUGAGAGACAAUGAUGGUGGGAUUACGUUGCUUCAAUCUCACUAUGUGGUAAAGAUCUUGAGUCGUUUUGGAUAUAGUGACUGCAAGUCCUCUCCCACACCAUAUGAUGCCAGCACGCUUCUUCGGAAGAAUCGAAGAAUUGCUAGAGACCAAUUGAAAUAUUCUCAGAUUAUUGGCUCGCUUUUGUACUUAGUUAGUGCUACAAGACCUGACAUCUCUUUUGCUGUUAGCAAGCUGAGUCGGCUUGUCUCAAAACCAGGAGAUGUGCAUUGGAAAGCUCUAGAGAGAGUUUUGCAUUAUUUGAAAGGCACUGUAAAUUAUGGAAUUCACUAUACUGGACACCCAAAGGUGCUUGAAGGGUAUAGUGAUUCAAACUGGAUCUCUGAUGCUGAUGAGAUAAACGCAACGAGCGGAUAUGUAUUCACUCAUGGAGGUGGCGCUGUUUCUUGGAAGUCUUGCAAGAAAACGAUCUUAACAAGGUCAGCAAUGGAAGCAGAACUCACAGCACUAGAGACAGCUACGGUCGAAGUAGAUUGGCUUCGGUGGCUCCUGAGUGACUUGCCGGUUGUCGAGAAACCUAUAACGGGUAUCCUUAUGAACUGUGAUCACGAAAGUGAGCAGCUCAAAGGAUAACAUGAAGUCAUCAAGACACGUUCAGAGAAGGUUAAAAUCUCUCAGGAAGAUGAGAAACUCCGGAGUUAUUGCAUUGGAUUAUAUGCAAACAUCUAAAAAUCUGGCAAAUCCUUUUACUAAGGGUCUAUCACGUAAUGUGAUAGAUAACACAUCGAGGGAGAUGGGUAUGAGACCCACAAUUUGAGUUGUUCACAGUGGUAACCUAUUCUUUGUGAUCGGAGAUCCCGUGAAUUAGAUGUGGAAGACAAGCUAUUGUUCAACUGAGAGGAAAGUAUCCUUAUCAUUGAUAAUACCACUCCAUGAAGAUGCAAUACUUCCCUAAACUACAAGGCAGGUUGAUAUACAUCUUAAUAUGUUCUAAUUGGCUUAUUGAAGCAGAGAUGUUAUCCUGCAGAACAUCUUUUGAAGAACAUACCUAUAUGAGUCUGAUUGUUAACGUCACAAUCUAUGAGAGUAGGGUGCUCUCUAGUAAACUCAUGAAAGGUCUCAGAGUAUGACGCAUAAGCUCCACCCGCGGGGAAGUCCCACGGUAGCCUAGUAUCGAUCAAGGCUCUGUGUGAAGCUAGAUUCACAGAAAACUUGCAGUUCCAGGCCUAGUCAACUGUUCAAGUAGCUUACUAGUGUAGCAUAGAGUUCUAGGUGGAAGUUCAACUUAAGAGUCUCCACUGCAGUAUCGGUAUAUAAAACAGUGUUUUGGAACCAAAGGAAAAUUUUGUGUGCCUCUGGGAUCUGGUGGGGGAUUGCUGGAAUUUUUAUCUACUUUUGGGCCAACCCAAUAUAUAAUUUCAGAAAUUCCUAAUAAAUCCUAGAGGCCCACGCAGCCCAUUUGUACAAGGCAAGAGGUGGAAAUGUUUAGUCCCACAUUGCUUGUUUAGUGGGAGUUGGACCUCCUUAUAAGGGAGGAUGUUUCCACACAUGCAUGAGCUUCAGAACAAGAGAGACAUACACGCGUGCUCCUCCUCCUCUGCCGCCCGCCUCGUCUCGUCACGACGUGGGUUGUGGGAAUGAGCCGAGCUAAACUAAAUAUUUGCCACGCACGACUGGUAUACGAAAGGUCACUCGAAAGUUGAACGUUGCACCCUUCGGCUGCUGUCUGUUCGUUUCGUUUCCCUCGUUCUUUUCAGCUCCCGUCGCUGGCCUUUCGCCUCCUUCUCUCACGCCUAUAAAAGAGAGGUCGCUCCUCUCUAGAGAAACACAUCAGAAUUUCCUCUCACCAUUGGUUCCAUCUCUCUGUGCUACUGCUACGUUCUUCUCCAUCCCGACUUGCGGCGUGCACCGUAUGUCGGGAUAGUAGGACUCCGAAACUCCGUUUCUUCGAGUCCUGUAUGGGAGAAGGGCGAUAACGUUUUUGGGGAGCGCUCACCGCGACUACUAGCUUCCGUCACGGACACCGACGAUCUCUUCCCGGACGACGACUUCUUCCCCGACAUCGACCACCUCUUCGGUAACAUGGCCAACGACAACGCCAACAUCAACCCUACUGCUGUUGCAACUCAGUAUGUGCUCAUGUUCCUUUUCUUUGAGUUCCUGCCGCAACUUCUUGCUCUAUUUUCACUUCAAGGUAUGUUCCGUUUCUGCUCAUCCUUUCAUAUGAUGUUUUGUGUACAUAUAACAGCUCUAUAUAUGUUCUCUUUUAGAUCAUAUGUGCACAUGUCUUUUUUCGUCUCAUCUCUAUAUUGUGUGCCUUGUUUCAUCUAUUUUAUGGUAGUCAUGUUUUCCCUAUCUUUUCUGUUAAUAAAAUCCUAUGGAAAAUUGCUCAUAUUUCGAACAGUAUAUAUACUAGUCUUCGUCGUUGUUCGAGAUGACCUCACUCGCAUGCGAUGUCUCCUCCACAGCCCGCGUCUCCUCAGUCUGCUGCCAACGAAGAUGCUUGGCCUCCACAACCGACUCAGAGUGGGUGGAGUUCAGGAUGGCCUCCUAAUCCGGUCAUAGCUCCAUGUCCUCCUCCAUCGUCGGUGCCUCAUCCUCCCUCACAUCCAGCGGCGAUGCUUCUUCCGUCAGCUCCUAUUGCCCCCCCACACACAUAGCGGCGGUGCCUUGUAACGACUAAGAUGCGGUCCUUUCUGAUUUGGGAAACGAGGCCCCUAAUUGGAAAGAAGCGCAUCUAAGCGUUUCGCAAACAUGGUAACAUAGCACAUACAUAAUAUCAACAGAAUGACAAUAAGGGAUUAAAUUGCCAUCUCAUAAAUAUAUCAGAGUUACAUCACGCAUUCAAACAAGGUAGUUCCUCUAUGGACUACAAAACAUGAGAAAUGACUAUGCUACCCUGCAUGCUUGCCCAUGAUCACGACCACGCCCCAGUCUUCUGGAUAGUUCACGUACAGGCGGUCGCUCUCCUCAUCGUACUGCCACGCCAGCUGCGUGCCGUCAGGAUCACCUGUCUCGGGGGUACCUGAACCUGUUGGUGUUGUGAAGGAAUCUGUGAGCCACGGGGACUCAGCAAUCUAUGACCUCGGUGCGAGAACUAGUCAAGUUAUUAGGUUGGGCAGGUGAAGUAUUUAGGUUGCAGUAUCCUAAGCUUUAUAUGGUGGCUAACUUACGUAGAACAUGAAUUGAAGGUGGUCUAUUCUAGCGGUCGAUAAUAAAUGAUCACUAAGUAAUCCUGAACACCUACCUACGUCAAUCAUAACCCCACCGUGUUCCCGAUCGAAGAGAGAUCUUCGAAGGGGACAGUCACGGUUACACACACAGUUGGCAAUUUUAUUAGCUAAUGAUUAAGUUAUCUAUUACCGGAUGUUAACAAAAUAUUCCAAGUUGCCACAUAACCGCGGGGACGGCUUUCCGAAAGAUUAAACUCUGCAGGGGUGCUCCAACUAGUCCAUCACAAACGUACACGGGCCGCAAAGUAAUCCUCUAUCACGAAACUCGUGAUCUCGUCGGAUUCCUUAGAGGAAAACCUCAACUAUGGGGAGAACCAAAGCUUCACCGGGAUUCCAAAACGCAAGAUAUAUCGCUAAGGUAAGAGAAGACUAGCAGGACCUCCCGUUGUGUCAACGACCCUGAUAAGAGCCGCGUAUCUCAGUCUCAGGACACGACGGAUGGAAUUAGCUACGAGAACCAAACCUCAAGUUUCCUUGUGGUGGCCCUACAGGCAAACUAGUUUGGACCAACACUCAUGAGGAGCACUAGCCCGGGUUGUUGAUUAAAGAUCCUCGGGGUGAUCAUUCCCUAUGAAGAUUAUUAUUAAGUGAUUAGCAAAUUAACACCAAUGUUGGGUCCUACCGGACAAGUCUUAACACUACGCGAUUUAUCGAGGGGGUCCCCAUAACAACCCCGAACAUGCUAGGAGCGAUCAAUAUGGAAUCAAACACAAGUAGCCGAUAACUAUGGCGGCAAUAACGGAACAAAACACCCGGCAAAAGGCUAGGCCUUCCGUUAUUUACCAAGUAUAUAGGUGCAUUAAUUAACUAACAGAUUUAACAUAAUGAUAUCAAACUCAUGGUAUCACAUGAGACAUUGCACCUCCAACUAGCAAAGCUAACAUUAGUAGCUGAGCAAAGCCUACUUAGCCAUUCAAGUUUUGCUAGGAAGGGAUAAGUGUUUGGUUUCAUGGCAUAUCAGGAAGCAAUUAUUUCAGUGGUAGGCAGCGAGCAUAAGAUGGAAGAAACGUAAUCUAGCAUAACAAGUCUAGAGAUGGAAUCAAGGUCAUAUCAUCUUGCCUAUGAUAUCCUCAGCUUGGAACUGCUCUUGUUCAUCCUGCACGCACUCUCCCGAAUCCACGUACUCGUUCUCCGAUCCUGGUGCUACCCAACAUAAAAAUAGCAUGCAAUGAACAACAGCACCUCAAGAUGCAACAAGCACAAGAUGCAUGAGAUGAAUAUGAGCAUGCAUCACUAUUCUACUAACUAACACAAGCAUGAGAAGUAAAUACAUGUUCCUGGACAGAACUGCAUCCUAAGCUAUAUUGACAUGCAUGAAAAUGACAUGAUCAGAUGCGUCACGUGAAAACGAUGUAAACACAUAUAAAGAACAUUACAAACGGAGCUACGGAUCAACGGGAAUCAACGAAACAAGUAAAUGAAGCCCUACGUGUCAAAUAUAUCACAACACACUCAAAUGGCAUAACUCUGGUAUUUCUAGGUUGCCAAGACAUAAAACAAACCAACAUGGAUGGGGUGGUGCAAAGAAUAUCACCACACCAUCAACUAUGCAAUCACAAACAUCAAAAUACCAAAACUACACAAUCUGCCAUAAACAGCAUCAUAGCACUUUGUUAGCUACAUGCAAAGCACCUACAACCACCCAAACAUGCCAAAUAAGAUAUGUGGCAGUAGCUAUCCAAGAUUACUACAAGCACAAGCAAAAAUAUCACACAAAGGAGUUACACACAGAAAGUUACACAGCUACUAACUUGCCCAAAAAUAUCAGAUUUCAGGGACUUAGUGAAAAUUCCUGAUUCUCACUAUCUGUUUAUGCUCUGAAGCAUUUUGACAGCACCCAAAACAAUAUCUACAGGGCUCCAAAUGGAAUGAAAAUUAACAGGGAGCUAUAAAAACACAUAAGAUUCAACUUUCCAGUUGAAAGCUAAGGCUGAAUCACAACACAUUGACCUGCACAAGCUCAUCAACAGGAGAAGAAAAUAUAUGCAUUGCUAAACAUGAAACAUGCGACAACAAGGAAUCAACCUUUUGUGCACUCCACAACUCAUGAGACCAAGCUCCAAACAUAGAACAAAUCUGAAAUAUGUCAUUUCCAGAAAGUGUUCCAAUGGCAAAACUGAUCCCACCAAUGGAUUCCUGGGAUGUUUCUACCCCAAAAACAUAUAUAAUACCCAUGCACUUGUAUAGAACAAAUGGGCACAAACUAGAGAAGAAAACCUACAUAGAAUCACUUAGAGAUGAAUAGUGCAUCAUCACAUGUGAUUCCACUAGCUCAUCACCUACACAUGAAUAUACACACACUCACAAGGAAGGAUACACACUCACACAUAUGGACAUGUGUUGGUGCACCUUGCUUUAGUAGGUCGGGCGAACCCAAAUACACCCACACAACUACACACACACAUACAUGACAACUAAUAUGCUCAUAAACACCUACUCUUGCUAGAAUCACCACCACUAGCUAUACACACACACACACAUACAAGAGCUCCUACAUAUCACAAGGUAGGUGAGGGGAAAAACCCACACACACUUCACUUAUUGCACAAGAGGUGCACAAGCACAUCACCCUUGGUGCUUGCACCACACUCAUGCACAUGAACACUUGUUCAUGUGUGUGAGAUGCAUACACACACAUCUACCACAAAGCACCACUUGCAUGUGUUCUACCACACACAGACACACCACAACACCAUCAUCUACACAUCUACUCUUGUAGCACCUACACAUACAUACACCACACAAAUCUGCACCAACAUGCAUUCACAAACUAGCUAAAUAACAUACACAACAAUAGAUGGAAAUCAACUAGCCUGACUCACAUGCACCUCCAACCCUUUUUCUAGCAAUAAAAAUACACAACAAAAGAUAAAACAGAGAAAAAUAUAUAUAAGGGCUUGGGGGGGGGGGUUCGAACCCAAGCCUCCUCUGAAUCUCAACUCUGUUGUUGCCACCCUGCUACUGCCACUGCUUCGACAGAGAAGGGACACCUUGCAAGGUAUCCUCUCUGCUGCUGCUAUCCUACUAUCGACCGAAAAAGAAUAAAAGGGGGGGGGUGCAACAAGUGAGAGUCGAACCCUGCACGUGACGCCAACACACGCAACAUGCACACGCUGAUAACCACUAGGACUCUGAACUGGAUCUAAUAGAGAGAAGGUUGACUGCAAGCUAUACUACCAGUACAGGGUGCUCUGCUCUGCAAAGCACAGAGAAGCGCCGGCGACAGGGAGGCUGCCGAGGCUUCUGUGCUACUGCUGCUGGGCCACGAAUGGGGGGGGGGAACCACCACGGCUACCCAUGACUGCUAUGCGGUGCUAGCCACGCCAUGCUCUGCUACUACACAGCACACGCUCAACAACACCCAAGCACACAGCUUGCUUCUGCCGCUGGACAGGAACGCACACACAACAUCACACUGCUACUGCAACAAAUAUACAUUCCAACGGCGCCAGAAACACGUGCUGAUGGGAGCCAUUCUUGUAUUGAUUCUCCUCAGCAACGGCACCAGGAAUCCUUCUGCUCUGGCUACGCCUUUAGGGACUUCCUAGGCAAAUAUGCAAACGAUUUCCCCGUGGCCUUGGAGCAUUGCGUUGGUGUUCCCUCGAAGCGGAAAGGGUGAUGUAGCGCAGCGGUGGUAAGUAUUUCCCUCAGUUUUGAGAACCAAGGUAUCGAUCCAGUGAAGGAGUAUCACAAGUGCCUGCACAAACACAAAGAACCUGCUCCCAGCGCUAUGAAGGGGUUGUCAAUCCCUUAUAGAUUGUUCGCAAAGUGACAACUGAAAGCAACAAAGUAACAAAGUAAAGUACAAGCGGAGGUGUAAACGAUAGAUGUGAAUAGACCCGGGGGCCGUAGUGUUUACUAGUGGCUUCUCUCAUGAAAGCAAGUAGACGGUGGGUGAACAAACUACUGUCGAGCAAUUGAUAGAACCGCGCAAAGUCAUGACGUCAUCUAUGGCAAUGAUUGUAUCUAUAGGCAUCACGUCCAAAACAAGUAGACCGAUACUUUCUGCAUCUACUACUAUUACUCCACACGUCGACCGCUAUCCAGCAUGCAUCUAGUGUAUUAAGUCCAAAAGAACAGAGUAACGCCUUAAGCAAGAUGACAUGAUGUAGAUGGAAAAUCUCAUAUCAACGACAGAGCCCACCUUGUUACCCUUGAUGGCAACUACUCAAUGUGUGCCUUGCUGCCCCUACUGUCACUGGGAAAGGUCACCACAUGGUAAGAACCCAAAACCAAGCACUUCUCCCAUUGCAAGAAUCAUAGAUCUAGUAGGCCAAACAAAACCCAAGACUCGGAGAGACUUACAAGGAUAUCAAAUCAUGCAUAAAAGAAAUCAGCAAAGACUCAAAUAUAUAUCAUAGAUAAUCUGAUGACAAAUCCACAAUUCAUCGGAUCUCGACAAACACACCGCCAAAGAAGAUUACAUCGGAUAGAUCUCCAUGAAGAUCAUGGACAACUUUGUAUUGAAGAUCCAAGAGAGAGAAUAAGCCAUCUAGCUACUAACUACGGACCCGUAGGUCUGAAGUGAACUACUCAUGAGUCAUUGGAGGGGCGAUGACGAUGAUGAAGAAGGCCUCCAACUCCAAAGUCCCCUCCGGCAGGGAGCCAGGAAGGGUCUCUAGAUGAGGUCUCGUGGAAAUGGAAGCUUGCGGCGGCAGAAAAGUAUUUUCGAGGGUCCCCUGAUUUUUUUUUCUGGUUUUUAGGGAAUAUAUAGGCGCAAGAUCUAGGUAAGCGGGGCGCCAGGGAGGCCACAAGCCUGCCCACCGCUGCCUCCCCCUGGUGGCGGAGUGGGGGCUUGUGGGAUCCCUGUAGCCCUCCUGGCUUGGCCCACAGGCCCCCUGAUCUUCUUCCGUUUGGGAAAAAAUCAUUUCGGGGAUUUUAUUCCGUUUGGACUCCGUUCCAAAAUCAGAUCUGAAAAGAGCCAAAAACACAGAAAAAACAGGAACUGGCACUUGGCACUGAAUUAAUAAGUUAGUCCCAAAAAAGAUAGAAAAGGUACAUAAAACAUCCAAAGAUGACAAGAUAACAUCGUGAAACCAUCAAAAAUUAUAGAUACGUUGGAGACGUAUCAAGCNNNNNNNNNNNNNNNNNNNNNNNNNNNNNNNNNNNNNNNNNNNNNNNNNNNNNNNNNNNNNNNNNNNNNNNNNNNNNNNNNNNNNNNNNNNNNNNNNNNNNNNNNNNNNNNNNNNNNNNNNNNNNNNNNNNNNNNNNNNNNNNNNNNNNNNNNNNNNNNNNNNNNNNNNNNNNNNNNNNNNNNNNNNNNNNNNNNNNNNNNNNNNNNNNNNNNNNNNNNNNNNNNNNNNNNNNNNNNNNNNNNNNNNNNNNNNNNNNACGCUCUGCUGCAGAACCGAGGAAGGGGAUGGAGAACUCCGGGUCUGAGUUGUUGACGAGGAGCUGGCCGACGGUGAGGACGCUCCCCGGCCUCAUCGAGGACGGGAAUGGGGUGCGGGCACCUCCCCCGUGNUUAUGACCAAUUUGAAUAAAAUAGAAAAGAAUUCCCUUAUGACCAAUUUGAAUAAAAUAGAAAACAAUUAUUUGGGGCAACUAAAUAUUUUCAAAACAACAUUAUCAUUGGCUGUUUUGGGAAUAUUUGCACCUGUUGAAACACCUUUUAAAACAACAUUUCCACAUCUCAAAAAUCACCACAAAAUAUGCUAACACAUGGGAAUUUUUAAAAUAGAGAAGAGGCAGAAAUAUUUGGGCUUGAGAUAAAUAGGAGGGAGAUAGUUUUGAAGGCUAUGCAAACCAAAUCUGUUCCUACUAUCACAUGCAAUCUACUAGACUUGCACCACACCACACAUUUCACAAAACCACAUGUCACACAAGAUCACACAUCACCUCAUAUGACCACAAGCAACAACACAUGACACAUGGCAUGAUAUGGAAUGCAUGCAUGCAAGGAAUAAUUAAACAAGGUGACACAUGAAAUCACAUGCAUUGAUAGCUCUCAAGACAAUGACAAGUUGGACCCACAUGGGAAGGUUACACAUAUAGUAAGCUACACACUUGGGGCAUUACAAACUCUCCCACACUACAAAAAGAUCGCGCCCCAAGAUCUACGCCUGAAAGAACUCUGGAAAUUCAGAACGGAGGUGAUCCUCGCGUUCCCAACUAGCCUCUUUAUCGGAAUGGUGUGACCAUUGCACUUUGAGAAAUUUGACAGUCUUGUUGCGGGUCUUGCGCUCAGUCGCCUCGAGAACCGCAACUGGAUGCUCAUGAUAAGAUAGGUCAGGCUGAAGGUCGAUGUCUUGAAGAUGAACAGUGCGCUCGGGGGUCUUGAAGCACCUCCGGAGCUGAGAAACAUGGAACACAUCAUGCACAUUUGCAAAGUUUGAUGGGAGCUCAAGCUGGUACGCAAGGUCGCCUCUCUUGCCAACCACUCUGAGCGAACCAACGAAAGAGGCGCGAGCUUGCCUUUGAUGCCAAAGCGCUGCAUACCCUUCAUAGGCGACACCUUGAGAUAGACGAAGUCAUCAAGCUCAUAAGACAUGUCACGAUGCUUGCUAUCAUAAUAGCUCUUCUCACGGGACUGAGCUGCUCUGAGGGUGUCGCGAAUGACCCGACACAUCUCCUCAGCUUCUUCUAUCAAAUCAUUCCCAAGGAUCUGACGCUCGCCGGUCUCGGACCAGUUGAGUGGGGUACGACACUUCCUGCCAUAGAGAAUUUCAAACGGAUCCUUGCUAGAACUAGCUUGAGAACUGUUGUUAUACGAGAACUCCGCAAAAGGCAGACAAUCCUCCCACUUCAUGACAAAAGAGAUAACACAAGCUCUCAGCAUAUCCUCAAGAACUUGAUUGACUCGCUCCACUUGGCCAGUAGUUUGAGGAUGAAAAGUUGUGCUGAAGCGGAUCUUCGUGCCCAUAGUAGACUGAAAAGAGUCCCAAAACUUGGAAGUGAAGAUACUUCUGCGAUCCAAAUAGAUCAUCAUAGGCACGCCGUGCAAAGACACAAUGCUGGAGGUGUACAACUCUGCAAGCUGAGCUGUCGAAAUGGAUUCCUUGACUGGACGAAAAUGAGCCACAUUACUCAACUUGUCAAUGACGACGAAGAUGGCAUCAUUACCCUUCUUGGACUUCGAAACCCGGUGACGAAAUCCAUCUCAAUGUGGUCGAACUUCCACUCGGGAAUGGGCAAAGGAUGCAAAAGACCUGCUGGACGUUGAUGCUCUGCUUUCACCCUUCGACAUACAUCACAUUCAUUUACGAAUUGAGCAAUCUCACGCUUCAUACGAGUCCACCAAAAGGUCUGUUUCAAGUCCUGGUACAUCUUGGAGCUUCCAGGAUGAAUAGAGAGCAGAGAGUUAUGAGCUUCUUCCAUGAUUACCUUUCUGAGAUCACCUUUCGGGAUGACAAGACGACCCUCGAAGAACAACGUGUCCCUGGCAUCAACACUGAAGCACUUAUACUUGGGAAGACUCUUUGCCACGCCAAUCUUGACUCUCUUCACCAUUGCAUCAAGAAGCUGUGCUACUCGGACCCGAUCUUCCAAGGUAGGAGAGAUCUGAAGGUUUGCAAGAAAUCCCUGAGGAACUAACUGAAGGUUGAGCUUCCUCAAAGACUCACAAAGGCCAGGCUGGAGAGGUUACAGAAUAAGACUAUUGCAGUAUGCCUUCCUGCUCAAGGCAUCCGCCACGACAUUAGCUUUGCCUGGCGUGUACUCAACACUCGGAUUAAAAUCUUGGAGCAUUUCCACCCAACGUGUUUGCCGGAGAUUCAGGUUAGGUUGAGUGAAGAUGUACUUGAGACUCUUGUGAUCGGUGAAUACUUCAACCUUAUGUUCCAACAAGAGGUGUCUCCAAGUCAUCAGAGCGUGUACCACAGCUGCUAGCUCAAGAUCAUGCACAUGAUAGUUCUUCUCUGCUGGCUUCAACUGCCUGGAGGUAUAAGCAACCACCUUCUUCUCUUGCAUCAUAACUGCACCAAGACCCUGGAGAGAAGCGUCGCAGAACACCUGGUAAGGCUUGGAAUCAUCCGGAGGAACCAAGACUGAAGUGGAGGUGAGCUUCUCUUUGAGUGUGUCGAAGGCCAACUGACACUCUGGAGACCAAGCAUACUUCACACCUUUCUGAAGAAGACUUGAGAGCGGCUUCACAAUCUUGGAGAAGUUCUCAACGAACCUUCUGCAAUAGAUUGCGAGCCCGGGAAAGCUUCGAAGCUGCUUCACAUUCUACGGAGGCUCCCAUUCAACAAUGGCCUAAACCUUGGAUGGAUCAACUUUAAUGUCCUCGACAAAGAUAAUGUGACCAAGAUAGACGACUUCUUUCAGCCAGAACUCACACUUGGAAAACUUGGCAUACAAUUUGUACUCCCUCAGCUUAUCAAGCACCAACCUGAGAUGUUAUUCAUGUUCUUCCUCAGUUUCAGAAAAGACCAGAAUGUCGUCGAGAUAGAGCAAGACAAAGUCAUUCUUGAAUGGAGAGAAUAUGUAGUUCAUCAAUCGACAGAAUGUCGGAGGAGCAUUUGCCAGACCAAAAGACAUGACCGUAUACUCGUACGAGCCAAAACUAGUCGUGAAGGCAGUCUUCGGAAUAUCUUCUUCGCGAAUGCGAAUUUGAUGAUAGCCCAUUCUGAGAUCGAGCUUGGAGAAGACCUUAGCACCUUUCAACUGUUCGAACAACUCAGUUAUGUUCGGAAGUGGAUAUUUGUUCCUGAUUGUCUUCUUGUUCAAUGGACGGUAAUCGACACACAGCCGGUCCAUGCCAUCCUUCUUGUUGACAAACAGAACUCCACAGCCCCACGGAGACGAGCUUGGUCUGAUCAGACCCAAACGCUCCUGCUCAUCGAGUUGCCUCUUAAGCUCCUUCAAUUCUUCUGGACCCAAUUUGUAUGGCCGUUUGCACACCGGCUCGGUACCUGGUUCAAGCUCAAUGACAAAUUCAACUUCUCGGUGCGGAGGUAUGCCUGGCAUCUCUUCAAGAAACACUUCUUCAUAUUCGCAGACCACUAGGACUUGCGAAAUAGGAUUGAUCUCACCCUUUUCAUUCAAAGAGAACAGACAGAUUGUAUCAUCGCGCGCCGCGAAUAUAAUCACGUCCUCCGAAGAGUGGGUAAGCUUCACUUCUUUAGCUUCACAAUCAAUUGAUGCCUUGUUCAUGGCCAGCCAGUCCAUACCAAGGAUCAAGUCAAUUUCGGAAUUGCCCAAGACAUACGGAGAAGCCAGAAAAGAAUAACUGCCUAUCUUGAUAGAAGCAUCCGGAACGAACAACUGAGAGCUCAUCCGCAUACUCGGAGACACAACUUGCAAUGACUUGGGAAGAAACUCGGUCACAAUAUUAUUACCAGAUGCAAAGGGAUAUGACAUGAAAGAAUGCGGUGCGCCAGAAUCGAAUAACACUUUAGCAGGAAUAUCAUUGACGAGGAGGUUACCCAUGAUCACAUCUGACGAGUUUUCUGCCACAACUGCAUUCACCAUGUUGACUCGAGCUGAUCUUGGGUUGAACUUGACAAGAGCAUUGCUUGGAGGUUUUCCUGGAGGAGGAGGCGGCAGUCGGAGCUGAGAAGUGCACUUGUUGGCAUAAUGACCCUUCUGCCCACACUUGUGAGAAGUAACCUCUGCUGGCUGCCGGUACUAAGUCUGAGGAGGCCCUUGCUUCUGAUGCUGGAAUCUCUGCUGAAAGACUGGGUUGGGUGGGUGGGAAGAACCACGGCCACCAGAAUGCUUGAGCUGCUGCGAGUGCCGAGGAGGAGGAGGAGACACCCAAAACUUCUGUUGCUUCUGAACCACCUAAGUAGAGGAAGAGCUGGAAUCUCUUAAGCGCUUCUAAGAAUUCUCCACCCUGAGCAAGGAUGCCUCUGCCCUGAGAGCUAAGUUGUAGAACUUGUCGAACUCCUCAGGAUCGUGCAAAGAAAGAGCUAACUGCAAAUCUUCUUUCAAACCACCUCUGAACUGAUAAAUCUUUCUCUUCAGAUCAGGGAUAUCCUCCAAGGCGUAUCGGGCUAGCUCGUGGAACUCAACGUUGUACUUGUACACGGAAUUACCACCCUGCUUCAAGCGCGUGAACUUCUCACGCAUUUCCUCCACGAAGCUAGAAGGAAUGUAGUGGGACCUGAAGUCACGGCAGAACUCAUCCCAAGUGAUCACUCUAGCGCCUCUGGAACCCUUCAGCUGUUGCCACCAGAUAGAAGCUUGCCCCUUCAACUAGAAUGUAGCAAAUUUGACAAAAUCCUCAGGACGAACAUUGCUACACCCGAAAUGCUUGUUCAUACCACGGAUCCAAUCCUCGGCAUCAAACGGCUGGUCACAGGAAGUGAAAGUCUUUGGCUGAUUCAACAGGAACUGACUCAGAUUAGCAAACUGAUUGCCACCAUGCUGGAAAUUGCCUUGCUGCUGGUUACCCCUCUCUUGCAACAACUGUAGCAGCAUCUGAGUGUUUGCAUUAGUAGCAGCCAUCACCGCUUGCCAAGCCUCUGCAGGAGGAGGCGGCGGCGGCGGAGGAUUCUCCGGAGGAGGAGGUGGUGGCGGCACAUCCUCACGCCCUGGAUUCUGACGAGUUGGUGGAGCCAUCCUGAAGACGGACAACACAUUAGCCCACAGAAUAAAUUGAAGAUAUAGCUGAAUCAAAAUGACAGGAAUAUCUGAACAGAAAUAUAGCAUUUGCAUUCGAACAAAAUAGUAAGAAUGCUUCCUCAAAGUGACGGUCGACAAAAUUCUGAUUAAGAUCACUUCAAACAAGUAUGAGCUAGAACUGCUCGGAACAAACAUAUGAUCAAGAUUUCAUCCGAUAUCUUCGUGGAUAAGAUCGCACGGGCUCAAAUUUACAGUAGCCAUCCUGUGCAAGGUAGUGCACACGACUUACGAAGUAUCCCCGAGUCUUAGCGAGCUACAAGGACUCUUUAAGACACAAGGAGAACCGCUGUAAGACGAUCGUGAACUAACAUACCCAGUGAACAUCGAAUCCCAACCUCCAUUGUGCAUCUGUAGGAAGAUAAUCCUCUAAGAUACUACUUGAUAUCCCACCUAUGAAUUCCCGAAAUCACUGGUCAUGCAAUCUGGUACACGGAUACAAGGAGUAAUAACACACAACUCCUAUACUAACUCGUCCCCUGUAUCACAUCCGUCAACACACAACCAGAAUCUCGGACCUUCAUCUACAACAGACCCUCAUGAUCACAACGAUACCAAGUAUGGCAGUACUCCCAAACAAUCUGCACCAGUACUGGGGACAUCGGGGUUAUCUCGCCACUACCAGUAUUGAAGCAAUAACGAACAUACUUCGUUCUUAGAUACUCAAAAAUCUGAAUGAUGGCGAUGUGCGCAAGAAUCCCCUAGAGCUCAACUCCCCGGAAGAAAUCAAGGCACACAGGAGGCACCAAGACAGAACUCCGUCACAUCGAAAUCAUAUAGAUUUCACAAAUACCCGCGUGAUCCUAAUUUUUUUGAGCGAUAAGAGGAGUAGAAUUAAGAUUUCCUAAGACGGGAACCUCACCAGAGCAUGGAAGAGGAGAAAAAACAAUACCACUCUCCGAUAUAACUAAGACUCAAAACAUUUUACUAGACUCGACUCGGCCAAGUACGAUCACACAAAGGCUCCUAUGGUCGUAAGGCUCUGAUUACCAACUUGUAACGACUAAGAUGCGGUCCUUUCCGAUUUGGGGAAGGAGGCCCCGAAUUGGAAAGAAGCGCAUCUAAGUGUUUCGCAAACAUGGUAACAUAGCCCAUACAUAAUAUCAACAGAAUGACAGUAAGGGAUUCAAUUGCCAUCUCAUAAAUAUAUCAGAGUUACAUCACGCAUCCAAACAAGGUAGUUCCGCUACGGACUACAAAACAUGAGAAAUGACUAUGCUACCCUGCAUGCUUGCCCAUGAUCACGACCACACCUCAGUCUUCUCGAUAGUUCACGUACAGGCGGUCGCUCUCCUCAUUGUACUGCCACGCUAGCUGCGUGCCAUCGGGAUCACCUGUCUCGGGGGUACCUGAACCUGUUGGUGUUGUGAAGGAAUCUGUGAGCCACGGGGACUCAGCAACCUAUGACCUCGGUGCCAGAACUAGUCAAGUUAUUACAUUGGGAAGGUGAAGUAUUUAGGUUGCAGCAUCCUAAGCUUUAUAUGGUGGCUAACUUACGUAGAACAUGAAUUGAAGGUGGUCUAUUCUAGCGGUCGAUAAUAAAUCAUCACUAAGUGAUCCUGAACACCUACCUAUGGCAAUCAUAACCCCACCGUGUUCCCAAUCGAAGAGAGAUCUUCGAAGGGGACAGUCAUGGUUACGCACACAGUUCGCAAUUUUAUUAGCUUAUGUUUAAGUUAUCUAUUACCGGAUGUUAACAAAAUAUUCCAAGUUACCACAUAACCGCGGGCACGGCUUUCCGAAAGAUUAAACCCUACAGGGGUGCUGCAACCAGUCCACCACAAAUGUACACGGGCCGCAAAGUAAUCCUCUAUCACGACACUCGUGAUCUCGUAGGAUUCCUUAGAGGAAAACCUCAACUCUGGGGAGAACCAAAGCUUCACCGGGUUUCCUAUAUGCAAGAUAUAUCGCUAAGGUAAGACAAGACUAGCAGGACCUCCCGUCGUGUCGACGACCCUGGUAAGAGCCGCGUAUCUCAGUCUUAGGACAUGACGGAUGGAACUAGCUACGAGAACCAAACCUCAAGUUUCCUUGUGGUGGCCCCGCAGGCAGACCAGUUUUGACCAACACUCAUGAGGAGCACUGGCCCGGGUUGUUGAUUAAAGAUCCUCGGGGUGAUCAUUCCCUAUGCAGAUUAUUAUUAAGCGAUUAGAAAAUUAACACCAAUGUUGGGUCCUGCCGGACAAGUCUUAACACUACGCGAUUUAUCGAGGGGGUCCCCAUAACAACCCCGAAUGUGUUAGGAGUGAUCAAUAUGGAAUCAAACACCGGUAGCCGGUAACUAUGGCGGCAAUAACGAAACAAAACACCCGGCAAAAGGCUAGGCCUUCCGUUAUUUACCAACUAUAUAGGUGCAUUAAUUAACAAACAGAUUUAACAUAAUGAUAUCAAACUCAUGGUAUCACAUGAGACAUUGCACCUGCAACUAGCAACGCUAACAUUAGUAGCUGAGCAAAGCCUACUUAGCCAUUCAAGAUUUCCUAGGAAGGGAUAAGUGUUUGGUUUCAUGGCAUAUCAGGAAGCGAUUAUUUCAGUGGUAGGCAGCGAGCAUAAGAUGGAAGAAACGUAACCUAGCAUAACAAGUCUAGAGAUGGAAUCAAGGUCAUAUCAUCUUGCGUGUGAUAUCCUCAGCUUGGAACUGCUCUUGUUCGUCCUGCACGUACUCUCCCGUAUCCACGUACUCGUUCUCCGAUCCCAGUGCUACCCAACAUAAAAAUAUCAUCCAAUGAACAACAGAACCUCAAGAUGCAACAAGCACAUGAUGCAUGAGAUGAAUAUGAGCAUGCAUCACUAUUCUACUCACUAGCACAAGCAUGAGAAGUAAAUACAUGUUCCUGGACAGAACUGCAUCCUAAGAUAUAUUGACAUGCAUGAAAAUGACAUGAUCAGAUGUGUCACGUGAAAACGAUGCAAACGCAUAUAACGAACAUUACAGACGGAGCUACAGAUCAACGGGAAUCAACGAAACAAGUAAAUGAAGCCCUAUGUGUCAAAUAUAUCACAACACACUCAAAUGGCAUAACUCUGGUAUUCCGAGGUUGCCCAGACAUAAAACAAACCAACAUGGAUGGGGUGGUGCAAAGAGUAUCACCACACCAUCAACUAUGCACUCACAAACAUCAAAAUACCAAAACUACACAAUCUGCCAUAAACAGCAUCAUAGCACUUUAUGAGCUACAUGCAAAGCACCUACAGCCACCCAAACAUGCCAAAUAAGAUAUGUGGCAGUAGCUAUCCAAGAGUACUACAAGCACAAGAAAAAAUAUCACACAAAGGAGUUACACACAGAAAGUUACACAACUACUAACUUGCCCAAAAAUAUCAGAUUUCAGGGACUUAGUGAAAAUUCAAGAUUCUCACUAUCUGUUUAUGCUCUGAAGCAUUUUGACAGCACCCAAAACAAUAUCUAUAGGACUCCAAAUGGAAUGAAAAUUAACAGGGAGCUAGAAAAACACAUAAGCUUCAACUUUCCAGUUGAAAGCUAAGGCUGAAUCACAACACAUUGACCUGCACAAGCUCAUCAACAGGAGAAGAAAAUAUAAGCAGAUUCUCAGACUUAGUGAAAAUCUAAGAUUUUCACUAACCUGGAAUUUCAGCCACAUGCCUACUUUGAUUGGCACAACUUGCACAUAUGCAUUCCUAAACAUGAAAGAAAAGCAACAAGUGGUAGAGGGGGUCACCCUCUAAUGCCACAACAAGGAAUCAACCUNUUAUGACCAAUUUGAAUAAAAUAGAAAAUAAUUAUUUGGGGCAACUAAAUAUUUUCAAAACAACAUUAUCAUUGGCUGUUUUGGGAAUAUUUGCACCUGUUGAAACACCUUUUAAAACCGCAUUUCCACAUCUCAAAAAUCACCACAAAAUAUGCUAACACAUGGGCAUUUUUAAAACACAGAAAAGGCAGAAAUAUUUAGGCUUGAGAUAAAUAGGAGGGAGAUAGUUUUGAAGGCUAUGCAAACCACAUCUAUUCCUACUAUCACAUGCAAUCUACUAGACUUGCACCACACCACACAUUUCAUAAAACCACAUAUCACACAAGAUCACACAUCACCUCAUAUGACCACUAGCAACAACACAUGACACAUGGCAUGAUAUGGAAUGCAUGCAUGCAAGGAAGAAUUAAACAAGGUGACACAUGAAAUCACAUGCAUUGAUAGCUCUCAAGACAAUGACAAGUUGGACCCACAUGGGAAGGUUCCAAAUAUAGUAAGCUACACACUUGGGGCAUUACACGCCUCCUUUGUCGACUCCUUCUCCUCCUCAUCUUCCUUCCCCAGAUUCUCCUAUUCUUCCUCCUCCACCUGCUCCUCCUCCUCAAAAUCCUCCACCGGAUCCAGAGGUAGCCCCACGGCCCUCCGGAUCCGGACCUGCUCAAGGAGCCAGGGACAAUGCUGGAUCAUGUAGUGGUGGUGGCAUGGGGGCAUAGCUGACGGGCUCAGGUGAUGACGACGGAAGGGAGGAGGUGGAUGUGCUAGUGUUGGUGGACGUCGAUCGACUUAAAUAGGCAGCUAUGGCCUCGGGUGGGGAGCCGGGGCGACGUAAUGCGACAUUCACACUGCGACGACGGUCGAGGCGCCUGUCAGACCGUCGGGUUUCCUAGCGUGUCCGUGUGGGGCCCUGUCGUCAGACCGACGUGACGGGAGUGGCCGGGAGCGUCUGGUCUCCCCCAUAUCCACCCCAUAUUUGUGCUGGAUAUGAGAGCUGAGCCCGAACGUUUGAGACUCAUUUGAGGGGCCCGACUUGGUCAAUUUUUAUAAACGGCCAGUGAACGGACGGCCUGCAUGAACGUUUGAGGAAGAUAUGUGGGUUCCGGCUAUAGAUGCUCUUACACAAUCUACUAUUUUGUAUUUCAAAUAUAAUAAUGCACCAAGUGUAGAAGGUAAUUAGCAAAAAAAGAUCGAAAAGAGGAUUACCUCGAGUCAUUUGCAUGAAACGAUGCACACAAUCAUUUAUUAAAAUAUAUAUUUAUUCCAUUCCAACAUAUCUAUCGUACCCCUCAUGUUGCCUCCCCUCGGGCGACGCCAGGGCCCCAGAACCCUAGCCGCCAGACCCCAUCGUUUCUUCCUCAGCCACCGCUGCUGCCAGCAAAGGGCCGCAGUGGUGGCAGGACCUACGCCUUAGAUCCAGGGUGUGUGGUAGGUGUGAAAUCCCCUAUGUGGAGGAGGGGGCGUCGCAUGCGGGGAGGCCGGGGGCGCGCGGUAGUCAGGGUGGCGUCCCUGCUGUGCUGCGGCGAUCGAUGCCUCCAUGGUCGGUUGUCACCUGAGGUUGGAUCGUGGCAGUGGUGGCGCUCCAUCCAGCGAGGGUGGCGGCUGCGUGCAUUGGGUGGCAUCGAUGGGUGCGGAUCUGGCGUCCUAUCCUCAUCCGUAACGGUUUGGCCUUGGUCGGCCGGUGUAACGAGGAGGAUCGGUGAGGGCGGCUGGAAGCCCCUUGUCGGCAUGCCGAGGGCGGACCUCGUCUACAUGACGAGGCCCCCUCGGUUCCACCUAGAUGUGAGAUGAGGAGGAUGCGACUUAUGAUGAAAACCACGCCAACUUCAGUCAUGACGGACAACGGUGGCGUCUAGGAUAUCGUUACCUUCUCGAGGCAUCAUUGUUGGAGGUCGUGGCACCCCACUCGUGAUGCUCUCGGGGAAAUCCUAGAUCUAGAUCUACCGGAUUAGAUGAUGAUGGCACCUUCGAUGUUGUUUCCCUCCAAAGGGCAUUGUUUUGGAGUAAGUGCUGAUUGGACGGGACACGAGGAGGAUCGAUGUUACAUCUACAGCAAGCCCAACAGUGGAUCUCGGCGGCAUGGCGCUGCGUAGGAUUGUCGACGGGCGUGUGUGGACGGAUACAUACAAGAUUAUGGCCUUGUUUGGCGCCAUGGUGGCAUCGACGGUAGGCCUCGCAAUGUCGAUACGUCUAUUCUCGCUUUGGAGAUGGACUAGUGGAAGAUGGUGGCGGCAGCCUCGGAGAGCGCACCAAGCCGGCGUAGGACCCAGUCCCGGUGUGUGGCUGGGCUGAGGCAUUCGGCUAUUGAUGUUAGGAUUUAGUGCAAUGUCUGUUUGAUAUUUGGCCUGGAUAUUUGGCACACCUUCAUCAAGGGUUAGGAAUAGAAAGAGGUGUUGCAUAGAUGAUGGCUUCAGGCUGGUCGAUGUAUUACUUUGUAUGAUCUUUGUGAAUAAUUAAUAAAAUGACUGCAUGCAACGUCCGGAUGCAAAUGUCGGGGGUAUAUUCUCCUUUUCUAAAUAAAUAAAUAAAUCAAAAUGUGGAUAACAUCUCUAAUAUGUAAACGAUACAAAAAAGUAAACAAAUAGUCAGAAACCGGCAAAAAUAAUACACCAUAUGGCUAAACACCUAUCCUAUUAUUGAACAACCAAUCAAACCAGUUGUAUGUAGCCUGUGCUACUCUCCCCGAUCACUUGUAUGUAGCUUUAUUGGCCUCCUCUCCCGGGGGUCUGGUCUUGAGCCACCUCAUGGUGGGGUUACGCCUGCUUUGGUGCUCCGGCACCUUGGGAGCGUGCUUGUUUGUACCGACUUGAUGUUGGGUCAUGCGGGAAGGUCAUCUUUAAGGUGGAUCCCCCAAGGUCAUCUUUUAGGUGGGUCCCUCGAGGUCAUCGACCCACUUAGGUUGCUCGUAAUAGAAGUAUCAUAGGUAGUAUCAUGCAUGCCAACUAGACAAUCUCAAUGAGGUGACAUAUAAUUAAAUGAAGAAAGAGAGGGUUGAGUAUCAUAUCAUGAUACCGUAUCAUAUUAAAUGAUGUGCUACUGUGUGUCUUGCAUGGCAAUAAAUGAAUUACUCUAUGAUACUAACAUAUGAUACUAUGCAUUACGGAUGUGGUAUCAUAGACUCGUGUCAUAUGCAUGAUACUAGUAUAUGAUACUACCCAUUACAAUGAGCCAUACAUCUUGAUAUGGCACUGUCCUUGGACGUUGCAUCCAGCUCGUCAAUGAGUUUCCUAUGGCAGUACGAACUACGAAGGGUGGUUGUUGGCCCCUAUCCGCCUUAGCUUGACUUUGAGUGCCUCCUCGGUUUUGGAGGAGUUCGCUCCACCGAUCGCUAAGAUUAUUCUCUUUGUCUCAAAGACGUUGGGAUGAUUUUUUACUCUCUUGCUUGUGCUCACCAACCAUAUAUGCAGCGCGCCAUAAUUUGAAUCGCCCAUAGAUUUAUUUAGGAUCUCAUCUUCAUCAGGGUUGAGGCCUCUUUCGAGGUCAUCGUUGGGCUUGUAGUCCACCCCGUCGUCGACGUCGCCUCCCUGCCCCCUGUCGCUGCCUUUAUGGCCACCGUUAAUGUUAUUGUUGUCGUCUGCUCCCUUAGGAUGGUUGUUGUCGCCACCAUUUUUAUUGAGACUGUCUGCUCCCUCAUUGAUGGAAGUAUCUACCAUAUAAAAAUUGUACGUGGAUGUUGCAGUGCACCGACAUGUGUUCUUCCGGCUGGUGGUGCAUUGUCCAAGGAAUAUUCAACGUCGUUGUCCAUGUUGGCUUCAUCCUUAGAGGCGCUUGCGAGAACGUCAGUUAAAUCUUAGACUUUUGCGACUAGGUGGGUGGGCCAGAAAUUCCGACCUCUCCCUGUUUUCCCCUCGUGCAAUCAUAAAUCAAGUUUUUAUUGUCCGAGAUUGCGAGUUUAUGAAUUUGAUCUAACAUCUAGUUUAGAAGACCCCUAUCACUUUCGUUCAUGGUUUGAUCGAGCAUCGGGACCAAAGGAUGCUUCCUAGAGAUCCGAUCUAAUAUAGACAUGGGUUCCUUGUCGAGAGCCAAACUAGAUGUCUGCUCGUCCAAGGCUGUGUUCAGAUCAUGAAUCAAGAUUAGAUCCGAGGUAUGGGUUGUGCUACUAUCCAUCACCAUGGUUGACUCCAGGAUUUUGACAUGCACGUUACUGAGCUCCUCGAUCAGGUCUAACACCUAUUUUGAGAAGACGAGGUCACCUCGGGGAUCCGUUGCGUCUUCUAGGUUGCCGAGUCUGAUGAUCCAUUCUGAGGUGAGGUUCUCAACCUGGUCAAGGUGGCUAGUCGAAUCGACGAAGAGGGUAAUGCUAUCGAGGACAGAUAUAUAUCUCGGGCAGAAGGUCAUACCACAACGGACUUGAUCGCCGAUCUGGAGGUGCACCAUCGGACCGCUUCAACUACUCAAAGGGAUAUGCAUGGGCCAUCAAUGAUGGAGUCAAACCCAGCAAAUCUCGGGUAGGGAGUCCCUAGAUGCUAGCCUUGGUGUGAUGGUAAUAGGAGACAUAAGGAUUUACCUUGGUUCUGGCUCUCUCGAAGGGAUAAUAUCCUAUGUCAUGCUUGAUUUUAAUGAUUUGUUGGAGUAUAAGUUACAAAUUGAUCUACCACGGGAUUGUGGGUCUAUGAGGUUGUCAUCUACGGUCCUUUCACCUCAAUUUAUAUAGAUAUCAAGGGUGUCUAGGGUUUCCACAUAGGUCACUUACGUCUAGGGUCAUUGUUAUGAAGGCGAUAUCAAAGUCUUGGAGUGUGCAUCAAGUCUUUGGAACAUAUCCCUCCUAGCGCUCGAGGGCCAGAUGAAUGUGGCCUGCUAGUUAAUCAUCAUGGGGGUCCUUGAUCAGGACCGUAUGGCCGAGAGCCUACAUGGCAAGCACCACGUAGUCCACGAUGUCAUCGUUUAGGUUAUAACUUUUUCUCACAACGGUGGCGUCCGAGCGAAUGAUAGCGCUUCAUCUUUGAGCCGGAAUUUUGGGCUUCGAUUCACUUCGAGUUUGUCCAUCGGGACAGAGUGAAUGGCGCACCAACGUAGAUUCAUGCCACCUUUUUGGGGCAACGAUGUUAGCAUGUGUUAGGGCAUAUUUGUGCCUAAGUAAUUUCCGUGAUUGAUGACAGUACCUUAAAGGACUAAUCAUGUGCAUUAAGCUUUCAGAUAAUACAUACCAAUGACACAAGACGAUUCGGCACCCUCCAUGGAACAGAAGCACGGUGUCCUAUACGAUUCUCUUUGUUUGUGAGUCGUAGGAACACCGUACUAUUAAGAGGGGNNCUCCUCACGAGGGGCCGAACCUGGGUAAAUCGCCGUCUCUCUCCCGUUCAACCCCUUUGAGUCGCCACGAAAGUGCGAUGGCUCCGGUACUAAGUCCUUUCACGAGGACAUCUGCCGUGACAAAACCACGACAGUGUCCUCUACGAUUCUCUUUGUUUGUGAGUCGUAGGAACACCGUACUAUUAAGAGGGGAUCCGUAGUGGAAAGUUUUGGGUGGAUCAAUUUUGCACGCACACACUUUAUGUCCAUCCCCUUUCCCUGCAACUUUGGAGCUGUUCCCAUCUCUGGUUUAUCUCAUCUUGCAAAAAGGUCUCCUAGCGGUAGUACCGCUGGGCGUAGCGGAAGUACCGCUAGAGCUGGCGGUAGUACCGCUGAGCUGGCGGUAGUACCGCCCCUGGUCAGCGGUAGUACCGCUCCAGGACUUUAGUACCGCCUUCCUUGCGGUUGUACUUCGUCGGACUUUUUGCGAAGACUUUCUUGGCGGUUGUUGGCCCGGUAGUGUCUUUGCACUACCAUAGGCUCACGGUAGUACCGUUGCAGCCAGCGAUAGUACUGCUGGAGUGCUAGCGGUAGUACCGCUGCAGCCAGCGGUAGUACCGCUCGUCUCGGGCUGUGAGUGGGAAAACGGUUGGAUUUCGACCCCACUAUAUAAAGGGUUCUUCUUGCUCUAGAACCCUACCUUUUGACCCUCCCAAGCUCCAUUGUUGCUCCCUAAGCUCAAAAGUGCCCGAUCUCUCCCUAGCCAAUCAAAAUUGUUGAUUUCCUAGGGAUUGGUUGAGAAGGCCUAGAUCUACACUUCCACCAAGAGGAAAUUGAUUCCCCCACUAAUCCCUUGCGGACCUUGUUACUCUUGGGUGUUUGAGCACCCUAGACGGUUGAGAUCACCUAGGAGCCACAUUCCAUUGUGGUGAAGCUCCUUGGUCUUGUUGGGAGCCUCCAAGCUUUGUGUGGAGUUUGCCCCAACCUUGUUUGUAAAGGUUCGGUCGCCGCCUUCAAGGACACAUAUAGUGGAAUCACGGGACCUUGCAUUGUGUGAGGGCGUGAGGAGAAUACGGUGGCCCUAGUGGCUUAUUGGGGAGCAUUGUGCCUCCACACCUCUCCAACGGAGACGUACUUCUUGUCAAAGGGAAGGAACUUCGGUAACACAUCCUCGUCUUCAUUGGUUCCACUUGCGGUUAUCUCUAACCUUUACAUUGUGUAUGCUUUUGUUGUUGACUUUCUCUUACUUGCCUUAGUACUUAUAGUUGGUAGCAUCAUAUAGGUUCACCUCCUUGUUGUCAUUUUAGAGAACCUUUAUGUUGCUAACCCUAACUUGCUAAGAUAAAUUAAAAAGUGGUCGUUGCCUAUUCACCCCCCUCUAGUCAACCAUAUCGAUCCUUUCAAUUCGUAUCAGAGCCACGUCUCUUUAUUAAGGGUUUCACCACCCGAAGAGUAUGGAAGAUGAUGAGGGAGUUCCACGUGGGCAACCUGAGGCCAUGGCCUGGACUUCGGUCACAAGGGACGACUUCAAUACGGCUAUGGCUGCCCUCAAGACGUCCUUGACGAACGAAGUCAAGACCAUGCUUAAAGAGUUAAUUGAGGGAAUUAAAGGUUCACCUGAACCGGCGUUGGUGGUCAAACCCGCCAACACAGAUUCGAAGGCCAAUUCCUCUAAGGAAGCGGCUAAAGGUAUGCGACCUUCUUCCCCUCUCGAAAAUGAUGAGACUGGAACCUAUGCCUCAGUUCCACCUCCCAUGGUCUAUGGAGGACCUGUUCCCACACCGCGUCCUAACCCUGUUGGUCCUCCUCCUAAGCUCGUAAAGGGUGAUUUUGCUUACUGGGUGUUUUCUAUUAAGUCUCAUUUGAAUCAUAGCUCAACAAAUUUAUGGAGAAUCAUCGAGCAAGGCUACUACCCUCAUGACCCAAGCAACCUCACUCCAAGAGAAGAAGCGGACAAUCAAUAUAAUCACUCCGCAUUGUUUAUUCUACAGUCCGCAGUGCCUCCUGAAGAUCUUCCUCACUUGCGCCCCUUCACUCUGGCUAAGGAUUGUUGGGAGCAUGUUAUUGCACUCUACAAGGGAAGCUCAAGCAUUCAACGGUCCAACUAUGAAGUGGUACUUAAUAAGGCCGAUGAGUUUGUGAUGAAGGAAGAUGAGGACCCUCGUGAUCUAUAUCGAAGGGUGACUGCUAUUGCUGUUGCUCUCAAGGAUCAUGGGAGCAAGGAUGUGGAUGACACAUGGAUCAAGCGCAAGUUUCUCAAGGACAUCAUGCCUUUCAACAAAGCCAUGUCAUCAGUCAUUCGCCAACGACCAGAUUUCCACUCCUUGUCUUCUAGUGAGGUGUUGGAUGAAUUCAUUGCAAUGUCAAUCAUGAACGAGACCGCUGACAAUGCACUUGCUCAAGUUCGGUCAAAGACAGCUUCACCCAAACUUGCUUUAAAGGCAAAGGCUUCUUUUGAAUAAGAAGAAGAGGAUGAGGAAGAGGAGAGCUGCCCUGAAGACACUAAGUAUGCUUAUCACGAGCACAUGGCUCUUGCGUCAAGGAAAUUCUGGGGCAACAAGAGGAAUUCAAGACCCAACUUCACCAAGAACAACUCAAGUGGGUUCAAAUCCAAGCAACGAGUGAGGACAUGCUAUAACUGUGGUAAUGUGAGUCACUUCGUGGCAGAAUGUUCCUAUGAGAAGAGGGAAGACAAUGGGGGCAAGCUCAUUCGCAAAGACAAAACCAAGUCAUUCCCAAACAAGAAGAACUUUGUCAAGAAACCCCACCCAAAGGGUAUGGUGGCACUUGAAGAGUACCCCUCCGAUGAUGAUGACGAUGACGAUAUGGUGGCAACUGCGACUGUCGCCAUUGCCACCCCUUCUCCCAAGAAUGUGUCUCUCUUCAAUGCCCCCAACAAUAACCACAUCGCCAAGUGCCUCAUGGCCAAAGGUAUCGAUCAGGUAACACCCAGCAUUAAGACCAACAUCACUACUGCUCCUUCAUUGUUGAAUUGUGUUGAUGAUAGUGAUGUUGUGGAACUUAAUGAGCAUGAUCUUGACAAAUUUCUGUGCAUGAUCAAAGGAGAACCCAAGAAGCACUUUGUUGCUCUCUUGGAACAACUGGGUGAGGCUAAUGACCUCAUCGAGUCUCAUGAAGAGACCAUCUCCGACCUGCAAGGACAUAGUCGUGACUAUGCCGAUGAGAUCGCUGAACUAUCUAUUGCACUAGAAAAGGAGCACACUCUUCGUUUGGCUCUUGAGGAGUCAUACAGCGAUGAGUGCGCUAAAUUGCAAAAGGAACCAGAUCAUGCUACUCUUCUUACUCUUAUGCUUAAGUCUGAAAAGGAUGCUCUUGGGGUUGGCCAUGACAGACUCAAGGUGGAGUUUGACACACUCGACAAGGCUCACAAGGUCUUGAAAGGUGCUCAUUUCUCCCUGAAAGAGUCUCAUGAUCAAGUCCAAGCAAAGCUUAUCAAGGAAAUCUCUACUUGUCCUCCUUUCAUUUUAAUUGAUAAUGCUUGUACAACUAACCCUUGUUGUGAGCAUGUACAUCUUGUGGAGGAGAAUGCCAAGUUGAAGGAUAAACUUGAGAAGGGCCUUGUCUCAUGUAUCCAAGGCGAGAAGAACCUGAACGAGCUCUUGAGCAACCAAAAGGGUGUGGUAGGAAACGAGGGACUUGGACUUACAUCCAAGUCAAAAAGAAAAAGGAAGAACGGGAACAAACGACCCCCUACCCUCAUGGACAUCUUUGUCAAAGAGGGCAAAGGGACUCAAGAAAUGAACAGGAACAAGGUGGAGAAUGGUAGCGCCAGGAAGGGCAAAACCAUUCCUACCGACAUAGCCGGCAAACUUAAUCCUUCCUAUGUUUUAUGUCAUGCUGGUGAUGGGCAUGUUUAUGCCAGAUUUGUUGGUUCUUACUAUGAUUCCAUUGAAUGGGCUAUUUGGGUUCCUAAGACCCUUGUCUCUAACAUUAAAGGACGCAUUCAAAAAUGGGUACCUAAAACCAAGCCUUGAUCUAUUGCAGGAGUUUGCUUUCGGUGGGGUGUCAUGGUUGCUCGAUAGUGGAGCAACAAACCAUAUGACCGGAAGCAAGGAGUUAGUGGUGGAUGUGCAUCCGUCCCCUGGUGGAUGUGCAUCCUUCCCCAUCUAUGCCCACCCAUGUCCAAUUCACCGAUGCAUCAUCGUCAAAGGUAUUGGGAUUCGGUAAGGUGGUCAUCUCUCAAGAGUUAUCUAUUGAGAAGGUCAUGCUUGUUGAGUCCCAUGCUUACAAUUUACUUUCGGUUCGUCAACUUGCAAUUAUGGGGUUUUCCACAUUCUUUAAUCUUGAUACUGUGGUCCUCUUGUGGAGCAAGACUCUUAAAGUAGCCUAUGUUGGAUAUGUCGAAAAUGGUAUCUAUGUGGUGAACUUUUCAAAGCGACUCACUAAGACUGCGACUUGUCUAAUGGCUAAAGUUGAUGUGGGCUGGCUUUGGCAUCGCCGACUAGCUCAUGUCAAUAUGAGAUCUUUGCAAAGUCUCCUCAAAGUGGUCCAUAUUCGUGGACUAACGAAUGUGAGUUUUGCCAGAGAUCGUGCUUGUAGUGCCUGCAUUGAAGGAAAGAUUCAUGAGACUCCUCAUCGUCCAACGACUCUCAUUUACACUAGGAGGCCAUUGGAGCUCCUUCAUAUGGAUCUCUUCGGUCCUCCAUCAUUUGAUAGUCUUGGGGGCGGAAAGUACUCUUGGUGAUUGUUGAUGACUACUCAAGAUACACCUGGGUAUAUUUCUUCAAGAGGAAGAGUGAGACUCAACAAACUGUCAUCAACUUUGCUAGUGAAGCUCAACGUCAACAUGAAGCAAAGAUUUUGAUGAUUAGAAGUGACAACGACACCGAGUUCAAGAACUACACCUUGGAUGAGUUUCUAGGUGAUGAGGGAAUAAAAGAUCAAUAUUCAGCACCAUAUACCCCUCAACAAAAUGGUGUGGUUUAAAGGAAGAACCGAACGUUGAUGGAUGUUGUAAGAACAAUGAUGGCGGAAUUCAAAUCUCCAUAUAACUUUUGGGCCGAAGCCAUCAACACAGCAUGUCAUGCGUCCAAUCGGCUCUAUAUUUGCAAAGGCUUGAACAAGACCCCAUAUGAGAUUCUCACCGGAAACAAACCCAAUCUCAAGUACUUCCGGGUGUAAGUGUUUCAUUCUCAAGAAAGGUGCACGUUUAGCUAAAUUUGAUUCUAGAGCACAAGAGGGCAUCUUUGUUGGUUAUGCUACAAACUCUCAUGCUUACCGUGUCCUCAACAAGUCCACCGGGCUCAUUGAGGAGACGUGUAACGUGGAGUUUGGUGAAAAUAAUGGCUCCCAAGUGGAGCAAAGUGGUCUUUGUGAUGUAGGAGAUGAAAUUCCUCCCUAAGCCAUAAGAAGAAUGGGGAUUGGUCAAAUACUCCCCGUUGAGGAACCCCUUGUGGCCGAAGGAGAAGGACAAUGCUCUACUCAUGUGGAGCCAUCAUCCUCACAAGCCCCACACGCUUCCGAUGAACAAAGAGAAGACCCUCAAAUAGUUGAACAAGCUCAAGAACAAGAUAAAUUUCUCAAAAAUGGUGACGUGUCCCAUGAUGUACAAGCGCUUGCACAAGGUUCUGAAUCUGCUCAAGAUCAAGUGCAACUACAAGAUCCAGACCAAAUAGAAGCAUAAGAUCAAGAUCAAGAGUAACCACAAGAACAAGGACAAACCAGUGAACCUGCUCAAGUCGAAAAUCAAGUUGAUCAGGAUGCUGUCUCUCAAUUCCCUUCUCCAGCGCCUAAGAUAGCUACUGGUGCCAAGGGAGGAUCAAAGCGCAAGGGCAAGCAAAGUAAUCAAGUCGAUGCUCCCAGUUAUCCAAUGCAGAACUCUUGGAGCGUCGCGCAACCAAGAUUGCGAACAGGCUGAGAGUCAAGUCACAUCUUAUGAAGAAUGUGCUCGGUAGUUUGAAAAGGGGAGUAUCCACUCGUCAACAAAUUUGGAAUUAUUGUGAGUAUCACGCAUUUGUUUUGUAUUGUGAACCUCAACAGGUACAUGAAGCGCUCGAUGAUGAGGAUUGGCUUAUGGCCAUCCAUGAAGAACUCAACAACUUCGAGCGCAACCAAGUGUGGAAUCUAGUGCCAAGACCAAAGGAGGAACAUAAUGUCAUCGGGACCAAAUGGAUCUUCAAAAACAAGAAAGAUGCGAAUGGGAUUGUGUAUCGAAACAAGGCGAGAUUGGUGGCUCAAGGCUACUCCCAAGUCGAGGGUAUCGACUACGGUGAAACAUUUGCCCGUGUUGCUCAUCUAGAACCUAUUCGCAUGCUGCUUGCAUUUGCUUCUCAUCAUAAUUUCAGAUUACAACAAAUGGAUGUGAAAAGUACUUUUCUUAAUGGUCCUUUAAAUGAGUUGGUCUAUGUCAAACAACCCUGGGGUUCGAACAUCCCAAGCUCCCCAAUCAUGUGUAUAAACUUAAUAAGGCACUCUAUGGACUUAAACAAGCCCCACGUGCGUGGUAUGAGUACCUUACUGAGUUGUUACAAGAUCGUGGUUUUGAAAUUGGGAAGAUAGAUCCCACUAUUUUUACUAAGAGGGUCAAUGGGGAUUUGUUCAUAUGCCAACUAUAUGUUGAUGAUAUCAUUUUUGGUCCCCCUAACGAAUCUUACAAUGAAGAAUUUGCUGGACUAAUGACAGGGAAAUUUGAGAUGUCUAUGAUGGGUGAGUUGAAGUUCUUCCUUGGAUUCGAGAUUAAACAAGGCUUAGAAGGGACCUUGAUCUAACAAGCCAAGUACACUCAAGACAUGCUCAAGAGGUUCGAGGUAGAGGAUUUCAAGCCGGUCAAGUUUCCCAUGCCAUCAAGAUGCAAGCUUGACAGUGGUCCCAAUGGUAAAGCAGCGGAUCAAAAGGUACAUCGCUCCAUGAUUGGAUCCCUUCUUUACCUUUGUGCAUCUAGACCGGAUAUUAUGUUGAGUGUAGGGAUUUGUGCACGGUUUCAAUCUGAACCAAAAGAAAUCCAUUUUAUGGCUGUUAAGCGAAUCUUUCGAUGUUUGGCUCAUACCCCAAACUUUGGUCUAUGGUAUCCCGAAGGAGCAAACUUCAACCUAGUGGGCUAUUCCGACUCAGAUUGGGCAGGAAACUGUGUGGAGAUGAAGUCAACUUUUGGAGGAUGCCAAUUCCUUGGUCGUUCACUGGUAAGUUGGUCUUCAAAGAAGCAGAACUGUGUCUCACUAUCUUCCACCGAAGCUGAGUAUGUGGCAGGGGCAAGUUGCUGUGCGCAGUUGCUAUGGAUGAGGCAAACUUUAAAGGAUUACUGUGUCACUUGUGACAAAAUGCCUCUUCUAUGUGACAAUCAAAGUGCUACGAAGAUUUCCCUCAAUCCGGUGAAACAUAGCAAGACCAAGCAUAUUGAUAUUCGACAUCACUUCAUUCGUGAACAUAUCAAGCAAGGUGAUAUUGAGGUUCACUUCAUCAACACUGAAGAGCAACUUGCAGAUAUUUUCACUAAGCCCCUAGAUGAAGUAAGGUUCCAGGAGUUAAGGCAUGAGCUAAAUAUCAUUUAUUCAAGUAAUGUGGAUUGAAACUAGGCACUUUGCACCUCACUCUGCAUUACAUCCUGUUCUAGGUGUAGGCAUGGACAUAGGGGGAGUGUUGUUCUCUCAAUGAACUUCCCCUCCCCCCAUUAUGCAUAAAUCGAUCAACUCUUUCACUUUGGCCAUUAUUAAAUGGCACUUGUGCUUCAAAGAUGAGCGUUGGUCAUGAACCCAAGGAUAAUUCUUCGCGGUGUCAUACCUUUGCCUCAAACGUAGGUGGCCUCGGCCACCGUCCCCACCUUUCUCUCGUAUGGAAGAAAGGAUACAAAAUGACUAGUCAGUAUAUCUUGCUGGAGUUAUAUUUUUUUCACUGACUAGUCUAUGCCCACUUCAUUUUCAUAAAAUCCUAUGUCUCGUUGUGUCUUAUUGAGCGGUACUACCGCCAGGGGUAGCGGUACUACCGCCAGGACCCCAGCGGUGAAAGGAUCGAUAUGGUUGACUAGAGGGGGGGGGGUGAAUAGGCAACACCCACUUUUUAAUUAAUCUUAACAAGUUAGGGUAAGCAACAUACGGGUUCACUACAAUAGCAACAACGAGGUGAACCUAUAUGAUGCUAACAACAAGAACAACUAAGACAAUCAAGAGAUAGACAACAACAUAAGCAUACACGAAGUAAAGGUUAGAGAUAACCAUAAGGGGAACCAAUGAAGACAAGGAUGUGUUACUGAAGUUCCUUCCCUUUGACGUGAAGUACGUCUCCGUUCUAGCGGUGUGGAGGCACAAUGCUCCCCAAUAAGCCACUAGGGCCACCGUAUUCUCCUCACGCCCUCGCACGAUGCAAGGUACCGUUAUUCCACUAUAGGUGCCCUUGAAGGCGGCGACCGAACCUUUACAAACAAGGUUGGUGCAAACUCCACACAAAGCUUGGAGGCUCCCAACAAGACCACGAAGCUUCACCACAAUGGAAUGUGGCUCCGAGGUGACCUCAACCGUCUAGGAUGCUCAAACACCCAAGAGUAACAAGACCUGCAAGGGAUUGGUGGGGGAAUCAAGUUUUCUUUUGGUGGAAGUGUAGAUUUAGGCCUUCUCAACCAAUCCCUAAAGAAUCAACAAGUUUGAUUGGCUAGGGAGAGAGACCGGGCACUUUUGAGCUUAGGGAGCAACAAUGGAGCUUGGGAGGGUCAAAGGUAGGGUUCUACAGCAAGAAGAACCCCUUAUAUAGUAGGGGGGGGGAAAUCCAACCGUUUUCCCACUCACAGCCCGAGCCUAGCGGUACUAAGGCUGGCUGCAGUGGUACUACCGCUGGCAAUCCAGCGGUACUAACGCUGGCAGCAGCGGUACUACCACUGGGCCCAUGGUAGUGCAGAAGCACUACCGGGCCAACCACCGCCAAGAAAGUCUUCGCAAAAAGGUCCGACGAAGUACAACCGCUAGGAAGGUGGUACUAAGCUCCUGGAGCGGUACUACCGCUGACCAGGGGCGGUACUACCGCCAGCACAACGGUACUACCCCCGGCACUAGCGGUUCUACCGCUAGGGCCAACGGUACUACCGCUAGGCACAACGGUACUACCGCUAAGAGACCUUUUGCUUAGAUGAGAUAAAAACAGAGGCGGGAGCCACUCCAAAGUUGCAGGUAAGGGGAAAGGAGAUAAAGUGUGUGCGUGCAAAAUUGAUUCCACCCAAACCUUUCUGCUACGGGUCCCCUCUUAAUAGUACGACGUUCCUAUGACUUAAAGAAGGAGAACCGUAGAGUACACCGUGCUUCUGUUCCAUGGAAAGAGGGGGCGAGUCGUCUUGUGCCGUUGACACGUGUUAUCUGAAAUCUGAACACACACGAUUAGUCCUUUGCGGUACUCUCAUGAAUCACCAAAAUUACUUAGGCAUAAAAUAUGCCCUAACAAUCUCCCCCUUUUUGGUGGAUUGAUGACAAUACCGGAUUUGCACAGUGAAUAGCAUGUGAACAUAAAGAUAGUGGUAUAAUAAAUUAAGGAGCAUAUGACUCACAACAUAUGAUUGAAAUAAAUCUCACACUAGUUCAAGUCUCACAUCACACAAAGCAAAGAUAGGAAAUAAAAGCAAACCAAGUUCAAAGCAAACACGAUAAGAUAAGCAAAGCUCAAAUCUCAAAUCCAGCUCCUAGACUCUCUCACCCCCUUUGGCACAAGACGCCAAAAAGGGGCACACCUAAUGACACAGGUGGUCACUCCUCAUCCUCAUCAGCCCCAGACUCGUCCGUGGCAUUCGGAUCGUCCUGCUCCUCCUCAUUGUCCUCCUCAGAUGCCUCCUCCUCUGCAUCAGACCACUGAUAACCUUGAGCCUGCAUCCAAGCAGACUCUGGAGUGAUGUCGUCCUCUGAGACGCUGGAGAUAUCAACAUCAAGUGUCCUCAGGACACGCUUGUGCCUCUGACGGUUCUCCUUCUAGGCCACAUGAGUCUGAUACUGUCCCUUGGGCUGCAUACAGAAGAGAGUCUUCAUUUUAUCCUUCAGUUUCACUGCCCAAGAUGGCAUAGCAAAAUAUUAGGACUGAGAAGCGGGGCCUCUUUCAGCAGCAGCCUCUGUGUCAGUGUCCAUGUGCUGAGACGAAGUGGAUGGGUUGGCCCAUUUGUCCUUGAUGCGGAGCCUGAUAGGAUCGUGCACAAAGUAAUCAGCCUGAAGGUGGAACUCCUCAAUCAAAUAGACGUCGUUCACCUCCAGCGAAUAUAGGCAAACAAGUAGGGCCCGUAGAUGGGAACCUUGCGGUCCAUGAUGCAGUUCCAGAGCUCAUUGAACAUCACGUCAGAAAUAUCAAGAGGGGCAGAUUCCUUACUCCUAGCCUCCUUACAAAGCAGAAGCAUCUCAGCUAGAUAACCAUGCACCUCGUCAAAGUUGCCAAUGCGAGGAAAGAGAGUGUUGCGGAAGAUCCGAUGCAUGAUAUCCAGAUGCUUGGGGAGCACACCUUUCUUCACAUAAAGUUGUUGCAGCCUGUCCUGGGGGGUGGUAGUAGAUGAAGAUGGAGCAUGAGGAUGCAACCCAAUAGGAUUGUCAGCUCCCUGAAAGUCGACCUUGAGAAACUUCAUGAAUUCUGACCAGGAACCUGUCAUCUUCUGAGUACCAGUCAUCCAAGUCAUGUUGCGCUGUUCAUCAGGCGAGAAGUGAACAAUGACAUAGAAUUGGGCGACAACAUCUGGAUCAAAGUCGCGCUUGAAGGUGAUGAUCUCCUUAAUGCCAAGCUUGUCAAUCAAAGAGAGAGCCUGACCAAAGUAACCUGGGUUCCGGUGAAGGUGAGCCAAGUCAAUCCACUGAAUUGGAACAAACAUCUUCUUGAAGUGCUUGAUGAUGUCGCGAUAGAUCCUGCAGCGAUCCCGUGACCAAACAUGCUCGACAUCCUUGAUCUGAGCCUUCUCUUCUAGAUAGUGAUUGCGGGUGCGGAACCGCAGAAAAUCCUUAGGGGGCAUAGUGCGAACGUUGACCCCCUUGUCCUUGUGAGAUGUAUUCUUGAAAGACUUCUUUUUGGGAGGCAGACCGGAAGUGGCGAAGCCCUCUAGAGCAUCUGGAGUGCGAUACUGCUUCGGCUGGGUGUCACGUGGGGGAUUCGAGCGGCGAGCACCACCUGUGACACAUAAGACACACACCGAAAAAGAGCGACAGGAGGAGUCAAGGCAAUGAACAAAAAGAGGCAUAAAAGUAAACUCACAUUGCCGAGAAAAUGGAAAAGAAGAAAAAUAUCCUCCUGGCGGUAGUACCGCUACACUUGGCGGUAGUACAACUGGGGUCCUAGCGGUAGUACCGCUACCCCUGGCGGUAGUACCGCUGGGGUCCUAGCGGUAGUACCGCUACCCCUGGCGGUAGUACCGCUAGGGGGUUGGCUUUCAGAUCUGAAAUAGAAAAAGGCCCAUAGGAACGGCUAGAUUGGAUUUACGAGGGCCAUGGGUACUGCAUAGAAUCACUACAAAAACCACCAUAGCCCUAAACACAUGAGGAUCUCAAGAAUCAUCUAGAUAAAGACAUGCCUAGUCAAGAGAAUCCAAAUUUUUAGAUCUAAUCCAAAAGAAGAGAAAAAGUGCUUGAUCUAAAACAUGAAGAACCUAGAGCAUGUCAAUAUAAACGCUAUGAAUCAUAGGACCUACACUCCCCUAGAAUAUCUCCUUCGUUCCAUCCAAGAACAAAGCACAACACCAUAGCCAUGGAUCCAAAUAACCAAUGCUCCUAACCCUAGAACAAGAAAACACCAACCAAGAGAAUAAAGGGAGGAGCUUUACCGGAGUCCAUGACACUUGGUGGAGGAAGGAGGAGUGGAGCAAACCCUCCAACUCAACGGAGAGAAGGGGCUCCACAGAUAGAGAUCCAAAUGGGGGAGUUCGGGGUUGGGGAGGGAAGAGCCACGAGGAAGAAGAAAGAGGGCAGGAAAAACGGGCUCCGCCUCCUUUAUAUAGUCCAAGGGGUACGGGCCAGCGGUAGUACCGCUGGGGUCCUGGCGGUAGUACCGCUACCCCUGGCGGUAAUACCGCUGCAUGUAGCGGUAGUACCACUGGGGUCCUGGCGGUAGUACCGCUCCCCCUUGAGACAGCCCUAAAAAUCCUAGUCAGGUCGUGGUAGGCUGGGGUCCUGGUGGUAGUACCUCUAUCCCGAGCGAUAGUACCGCUGGGGUCCUGGUGGUAGUACCGCUACCCCUGGCGGUAGUACCGCUCCAAAUGGCACAAUGAGACAUAGGAUUGCAUGAGAAAGCCGUGGGCAAACGACAAGUCAGUGUAAUAAGAAGAUGGCACCAACAAGAUAUACCGACUUGUCAUUUUGUAUCCUUUCUUCCAUAUGAGAGAAAGGUGGGAGCGGUGGUCGAGGCCACCUAUGUUUGAGACAAAGGUAUGACACCGCGAAGAAUUAUCCUUGGGUUCAUGACCAACACUCAUCUUUGAAGCACAAGUGCCAUUUGGUAAUGGUUAGAGUGAAAGACUAGAUCAAUUUAUGCAUAAUAGGGGGAGGAAGAGUUCAUUGAGAGAACAACACUCCCCCUAUAUCCAUGCCUACAUCUAGAACAAGAUCGAAUUCAUAGAGAGGUGCAAAGUGCCUAGCUUCAAUCCACAUUACUUGAAACAAUGAUAUUUAGCUCAUGCCUUAACUCCUGGAACCUUGCUUCAUCUUGGGGCUUAGUGAAAAUAUCUGCAAGUUGCUCUUCAAUGUGGGUGAAGUGAACCUCAAUAUCACCAAGCUUGAUAUGUUCACGAAUGAAGUGAUGGCGAAUAUCAAUAUGCUUGGUCUUGCUAUGUUGCACUGGGUUGACGGAAAUCUUGAUAGCACUUUGAUUGUCACAUAGAAGAGGCACUUUGUCACAAGUGACACCGUAAUCCUUUAAAGUUUGCCUCAUCCAUAGGAAUUGUGCACAACAAUUUGCAGCUGCCACAUACUCAGCUUCGGUGGAUGAUAGUGAGACACAAUUCUGCUUCUUUGAAGACCAACUUACCAGUGAGCGACCAAGGAAUUGGCAUCCUCCAGAAGUUGACUUCCUCUCCACACAAUAUCCUGCCCAAUCUGAGUCACAAUAGCCCACUAGGUUGAAGUUUGCUCCUUUGGGAUACCAUAGACCAAAGUUUGGGGUAUGAGCCAAAUAUCGAAAGAUUCGCUUAACAGCCAUAUAAUGACUUUCUUUUGGUGCGGAUUGAAACCGCGCACAUAUCCCUACACUCAACAUAAUAUCUGGUCUAUAUGCACAAAGGUAAAGGAGGGAUCCAAUCAUGGAGCCAUAUACCUUUUGAUCCACUGCUUUACCAUUGGGAUCACUGUCAAGCUUGCAUCUUCUUGGUAUGGGGAACUUGACCGGCUUGACAUCUUCAAGCUCGAACCGUUUGAGCAUGUCUUGAGUGUACUUGGCUUGUUUGAUGAAGGUCCCUUCUAGGCCUUGUUUAAUCUCGAAUCCGAGGAAGAACUUCAACUCUUCCAUCAUGGACAUCUCAAAUUUCUCGGUCAUUAGUUCAGCAAAUUCUUCAUUGAAGGAAAUGUUAGGAGAACCAAAAAUGAUAUCAUCAACAUAUAGUUGGCAUAUGAACAAAUCCCCUUUAACCCUCUUAGUAAAAAGAGUAGGAUCUAUCUUCCCAAUUUCAAACCCACGAUCUUGUAACAACUCAGUAAGAUACUGAUACCACGCACGUGGGGCUUGUUUAAGGCCAUAGAGUGCCUUAUUAAGUUUGUACAUAUGAUUGGGGAACUUGGGAUGUUCGAAUCCCGGGGGUUGUUUGACAUAGACCAACUCAUUUAAAGGACCAUUAAGAAAGGCACUUUUCACAUCCAUUUGUUGUAAUUUGAAAUUAUGAUGAGAAGCAAAUGCAAGCAACAUGCGAAUAGAUUCUAGACGAGCAACAGGGGCAAAGGUUUCAUCGUAGUCAAUACCCUCGACUUGGGAGUAGCCUUGAGCCACCAAUCUUGCCUUGUUUCGAAUCACAAUCCCAUUGGCAUCUUGCUUGUUUUUGAAAAUCCAUUUGGUCCCGAUGACAUUAUGUUCCUCCUUUGGUCUUGGCACUAAAUCCCAGACUUGAUUACGCUCGAAGUUGUUAAGUUCUUCAUGCAUGGCCAUAAGCCAACCCUCAUCAUCGAGCGCUUCCUGUACCUGUUGAGGUUCACAAUAAGAAACAAACGCGUGGUGCUCACAAUAAUUCCAAAUCUGUUGACGGGUGGAUACUCCAUUUUUUAAACUGCCAAGUACAUUCUUCAUAAGAUGUGACUUGACUCUCAGCAUGUUUGCAAUCUUGGCUACUCGACGCUCCAAGAGUUCUUCAUUGGAUAACUGGGGAGCAUCGACUUGUUUACUUUGCUUGCCCUUGCGUCUUGAACCUCCAUUGGCACCGGCUGUUGGUGCUGCAGAAGGGAAUUGUGAGACAGUAUCCUAAUCAUCUUGACUUUCGACUUGAGCAGGUUCACUUGUUUGUCCUUGUACUUGUGGUUGCUCUUGAUCUUGAUCUUGUGCUUCUGUUUAGUCUGGAUCUUGUGGUUGCACUUGAUCUUGAUCUUGAGCAGGUUCGGAACCUUGGGUAAGUGCUCGAAUAUCAUGGGACACAUCACCAUUGUUGGGCAAUUGAUCUUGACCUUGAGCUUGUUCAACUUGUUGAGAGUCUUCUCUUUGUUCAUCGGAAGCGUGUGAGGCUUGUGGGGGUGAUGGCUCCACUGGAGUAGAGCAUUGUCCUUCUCCUUCGGCCACAAGGGGUUCCUCAAUGGGGAGUAUUUGACCAAUCCCCAUUCUUCUUAUGGCUUGGGGAGGAAUUUCAUCACCUGCAUCACAAAUACCACUUUGCUCCACUUGGGAGCCAUUAUUUUCAUCAAACUCCACGUUACACGUCUCCUCAAUUAGUCCGAUGGACUUGUUGAGGACACGGUAAGCAUGAGAGUUUGUAGCAUAACCAACAAAGAUGCCCUCUUGUGCUCUAGAAUCAAAUUUAGCUAAACGUGCACCUUUCUUGAGAAUGAAACACUUACAACCGAAUACCUGGAAGUACUUGAGAUUGGGCUUGUUUCCAGUGAGAAUCUCAUAUGGAGUCUUGUUCAAGCCUUUGCGGAUAUAGAGCCGAUUGGACACAUGACAUGCUGUGUUGAUGGCCUCAACCCAAAAGUUAUAUGGAGGUUUUAAUUCCACCAUCAUUGUUCUUGCAACAUCCAUCAAAGUCCGGUUCUUCCUUUCUGCCACGCCAUUUUGUUGAGGGGUAUAUGGUGCUGAAUAUUGAUGCUUUAUCCCUCAUCACCUAGAAACUCAUCCAAGGUGUAGUUCUUGAACUCGGUGCCGUUGUCACUUCUAAUCAUCAAGAUCUUUGCUUCAUGUUGACGUUGAGCUUCAUUAGCAAAGUUGAUGACAGUUUGUUGAGUCUCACUCUUCCUUUUGAAGAAAUAUACCCAGGUGUAUCUUGAGUAGUCAUCAACAAUCACCAAGCAGUACUUUCUGCCUCCAAGACUAUCAAAUGAUGGAGGACCGAACAGAUCCAUAUGGAGGAGCUCCAAUGGCCUCUUAGUGUAAAGGAGAGUCGUUGUACGAUGAGCAGUUUCAUGAAUCUUUCCUUCAAUGCAGGCACUGCAAGCACGAUCUCUAGCAAAACUCACAUUUGUUAGUCCACGAAUAUGGUCCCCUUUGAGAAGACUUUGCAAAGAUCUCAUAUUGACAUGAGCUAGUCGGCGAUGCCAAAGCCAGCCCACAUCAAGUUUAGCCAUUAAACACGUCGCAGUCUUAGUGGGUCGCUUUGAGAUGUUCACCACAUAAAGACCAUUUUCGACAUAUCCAACAUAGGCUACUUUAGAAGUCUUGCUCCACAGGAGGACCAUAGUAUCAAGAUUAAAGAAAGUGGAAAAACCCAUAAUUGCAAGUUGACGAACCGAAAGUAAAUUGUAGGCAAGAGACUCAACAAGCAUGACCUUCUCAAUAGAUAACUCUUGAGAGAUGACCACCUUACCAAAUCCCAAUACCUUUGAUGAGGAUGCAUCGGUGAAUUGGACAUGGGUGGGCAUAGAUGGAGAAGGAUGCACAUCCACCACUAAGUCCUUGCUUCCGGUCAUAUGAUUUGUUGCUCCACUAUCAAGCAACCAUGACACCCCACUGGAAGCAAACUCCUGCAAUAGAUCAAGGCUUGGUUUUAGGUACCCAUUUUUAAUGGGUCCUUUAAUGUUGGAGACAAGGGUCUUAGGAACCCAGAUAGCCCAUUCAAUGGACUCAUAGUAAGAACCAAAAAAUCUGGCAUAAACAUGCCCAUCACCGGCACGACAUAAGACAUAGGAAUGAUUGAGUUUGCCGGCUGUGUUAGUAGGAAUGGUUUUGCCCUUCAUGUCGUUACCAUCGUCCACCUUGUUCCUGUUCACCUCCUGAGUCCCUUCGCCCUAUUUGACAAAGAUGUCCAUGAGGGUAGGGGAUCGUUUGUUUCUGUUCCUCCUUUUUCCUUUUGACUUGGAGGUAAGUCCAAGUCCCUCCUUUCCUACAACACCCUUUUGAUUGCUCAAGAGGUCGUUCGGGCUCUUCUCACCUUGUAUGCAUGCCACAAGGCCCUUCUCAAGUUUCUCCUUUAACUUGGCAUUUUCCUCCACAAGAGGUACAUGCUCACAACAAGGAUUAGUUAUACAAGCAUUAUCAAUUAACACAAAGGGAGGACAAGUUGAGAUCUCCUUGGUAAGCUUUGCUUGGAGUUGAUCAUGAGACUCUUUCAGAGAGAAAUGAACACCUUUCAAGACCUUGUGAGCCUUGUCAAGUGUGUCAACCUCCACUUUGAGUAUGUCAUGGCAACCCCAAGAGCAUACUUUUCAGACUUAAGCAUACGAGUAAGAAUAGUAUCAUGAUCUACUUUCUUUUGCAUUUUAGCGCAGUCAUCGUUGUAUGACUCCUCAAGAGCCAAACAAAGAGUGCGCUCUUUUUCAAGUGCAAUAGAUAAUUCAGCAAUUUCAUCGGCAUAGUCACGACUAUGUCCCUGAAGCUCGGAGAUGGUCUCCUCAUGAGACUCGAUGAGGUCAUUGGCCUCACCCAGUUGUUCCAAGAGAGCAACAAAAUGCUUCUUGGAUUCUCCCUUAAUAGUGCACAGAAAUUUGUCAAGAUCAUGCUCAUUAAGUUCCCCAACAUCACUAUCAUCAACACAAUUUAACAAUGAAGGAGGAGUAGCGAUGUUGGUGUUAAUGAUGGGGGUUACCUGAUUGAUACCUUUUGCCAUGCGGCACUUGGCGACGUGUUCUCAUUGGGGGCGUUGAAGAGAGACACCUUCUUGCGAUAGGGGGUGGCAAUAGCAAGAGUUGUCAUUGCCACCAUAUCAUCAUCAUCAUCAUCAUCAUCAUCGGAAGGGUACUCUUCAAGGGCCACCAUGCCCUUUGGGUGGGGUUUCUUCACAAAGUUGUUCUUGAUUGGGAAUGACUUGGUUUUGUCUUUGCGAAUGAGCUUGCCCCCGUUGUCUUCCCUUUUCUCAUAGGGACAUUCGGCCACGAAGUGACUCACGUUACCACAGUUAUAGCAUGUCCUCACUCGUUUCUUGGGUUUUAACCCACUUGAGUUGUUCUUGGUGAAGGUGGGUCUUGAGUUCCUCUUGUUGCCCCAGAAUUGCCUUGACGCAAGAGUGAUUAUAUUGGUUGUCCGCUUCUUCUCUUGGAGUGAGGUUGCUUGGAUCAUGGGGAUAAUAGCCUUGCUUGAUGAUUCUCCACAAAUUUGUGGAGCUGUGAUUCAAAUGAGACUUAAUAGAAAAAACCUAGUUAGCAAAAUCACCUUUUACAAGCUUAGGAGGAGGACCAACAGGAUUAAGACGUGGUGUGGAACCGGUCCUCCAUAGACUAAGGGUGGUGGAACAGAUGCAUACGUCCAAUUCCCAUCAUUUUCGAGAUGAGGGGGAGGUUGCAUACAUUUAGCCGUUUCCCUAACGGAAUUGGCCUCUGAAUCCGUGGUGGUGGGUUUAACCACCAAUGCCAGUUCGGGAGAGUUUUUAAUUCCCUCAAUUAACUCUUUAAGCAUGGUAUUGACCUCGUUCGUCAUGGACGUCUUGAGUGCGGCCAUAGCCGUAUUCAAGUCGCCCCUUGUGAUCGAAGUCAAGUCCAUGCCCUCGGUUUGUGCACGGGGAACUCCCUCAUCAUCUUCAAUACUCUUCGGGUGGUUAAACCCUUAAUAAAGAGACGUGGCUCUGAUACCAAUUGAGAGGAUCGAUAUGGUUGACUAGAGGGGGGGGGGUGAAUAGGCAACACCCACUUUUUAAUUAAUCUUAACAAGUUAGGGUAAGCAACAUACGGGUUCACUACAAUAGCAACAACGAGGUGAACCUAUAUGAUGCUAACAACAAGAACAACUAAGACAAUCAAGAGAUAGACAACAACAUAAGCAUACACGAAGUAAAGGUUAGAGAUAACCAUAAGGGGAACCAAUGAAGACAAGGAUGUGUUACUGAAGUUCCUUCCCUUUGACGUGAAGUACGUCUCCGUUCUAGCGGUGUGGAGGCACAAUGCUCCCCAAUAAGCCACUAGGGCCACCGUAUUCUCCUCACGCCCUCGCACGAUGCAAGGUACCGUGAUUCCACUAUAGGUGCCCUUGAAGGCGGCGACCGAACCUUUACAAACAAGGUUGGGGCAAACUCCACACAAAGCUUGGGGCUCCCAACAAGACCACGAAGCUUCACCACAAUGGAAUGUAGCUCCGAGGUGACCUCAACCGUCUAGGAUGCUCAAACACCCAAGAGUAACAAGAUCCGCAAGGGAUUGGUGGGGGAAUCAACUUUUCUCUUGGUGGAAGUGUAGAUCUAGGCCUUCUCAACCAAUCCCUAAAGAAUCAACAAGUUUGAUUGGCUAGGGAGAGAGAUCGGGCAGUUUUGAGCUUAGGGAGUAACAAUGGAGCUUGGGAGGGUCAAAGGUAGGGUUCUACGGCAAGAAGAACCCAUUAUAUAGUGGGGGGAAAAUCCAACCAUUUUCCCACUCACAGCUCGAGCCUAGCGGUACUACCGCUGGCACUCUAGCGGUACUACCACUGGCAGCAGCGGUACUACCGUUGUGCCCAUGGUAGUGCAGAAGCACUACCGGGCCAACCACCGCCAAGAAAGUCUUCGCAAAAAGGUCCGACGAAGUACAACCGCUAGGAAGGCGGUACUAAGCUCCUGGAGCGGUACUACCGCUGACCAGGGGCGAUACACCGCCAGCACAGCGGCACUAACGCAAGGGCUAGUGGUACUACCGCUAGGCACAGCGGUACUACCGCUAGGCCCAGCGGUACUACCCCUAGGCACAGCGGUACUACCGUUGAGGGACCUUUUCCUUAGAUGAGAUAAAAACAGAGGCGGGAGCCACUCCAAGGUUGCAAGUAAGGGGAAAGGAGAUAAAGUGUGUGUGUGCAAAAUUGAUUCCACCCAAGCCUUUCCACUACGGGUCCCCUCUUAAUAGUACGGCGUUCCUAUGACUCAAAGAAGGAGAAUCGUAGAGUACAUCGUGCUUCUGUUCCAUGGAAAGAGGGGGCGAGUUGUCUUGUGCCGUUGACAUGUGUGAUCUGAAAUCUUAACACACACGAUUAGUCCUUUGCGGUACUAUCAUCAAUCACCAAAAUUACUUAGGCAUAAAAUAUGCCCUAACAAGCGGUACUACCGCCAGGACCCCAGCGGUACUACCGCCAGGGGUAGUGGUACUACGCCAGGACCCCAGCCUAUCAUGACUUGACUAGGGCUUUUUAGGGGUGUCUCAAGGGGGAGCGGUACUACCGCCAGGAAGGUGGUACUACAGCUAGGACCCCGGCGGUACUACCGCCAGGGGGAGCGGUACUACCGUUAGGACCCCGGCGGUACUACCGCCAGGGGGAGCGGUACUACCGCUAGGACAGCGGUACUACCUCUAGGACCCCAGCGGUACUACCGCUGGGCCCGUACCCCUUGGACUAUAUAAAGGAGGGGGAGCCCGUUUUUCCUUGCCCUGUUUGUUCUUCCUCGUGGCUCUCUCUUCCUCUACUCCGAACUCCCCCCGUUUAGAUAUCUCUCCGCGGAGCCCCUCCUCUCCUUUGAGUUGGAGGGUUUGCUCCCAUUCUUCUUCCCCCGUCAAGUGCCGUAGAUGCCGGUAAAGCUCCUCCCCUUCUUAUCUUGGUUGGUGUGUUUGGUUCUAGGGUUAGGUGCUUAGUGAUUUGGAUCCCUGGAUAUGAUUUGUGCUUAGCUUUUGGAUGGAACGAAGGAGAUAUCUUAGGGGAGUUUAGGUCUUAUGUUCUUCAUUAUUAUUAGUUUGACAUGCCCGAGUUCUCCAUGUUUUAGAUCUAGUAGCUCUUUGAUACGUCUCUGUCGUAACUACUUUUCCGAACUCUUUUGCCCUUGUUUUGGACUCUAACUUGCAUGAUUUGAAUGGAACUAACCCGGACUAACGUUGUUUUCAGCAGAAUUGCCAUGGUGUUGUUUUUGUGCAAAAAUAAAAGUUCUCGGAAUGACCUGAAAAUUUAUGGAGAAUUUUUCUGGAAUUAAUGAAAAAUACCUGCGCAAAGAUCCACCGAAGGGGGUGAACGAGUGGGCCACAAGCCCACUGGCCGCGGCCACCCCCCAGGCCGCACCAACCAGGCUUGUGGAGCCCACAGAGUUCCACCUCCUCCAAACUCAGCUCUAUAUAUUCCGUUUCGCCCAGAAAAAAAUCAGGGAGAAGGAUUCAUCGCGUUUUACGAUACGGAGGCGCCGCCACCUCCUGUUCUUCAUCUGGAGGGCAGAUCUGGAAUCCGUUCUGGGGUUCGGAGAGGGGAGAUCGUCGCCAUCGUCAUCAUCAACCUUCCUCCAUCGCCAAUUCCAUAAUGCUCUUCACCGUUCGUGAGUAACCUCAUCGUAGGCUUGCUCGACGGUGAUGAGUUGGAUGAGAUCUAUCAUGUAAUCGAGUUAGUUUUGACGGGGAUUGAUCCCUAGUAUCCACUAUGUUCUAAGAUUGAUGUUGCUACUACUUUGCCAUGCUUAAUGCUUGUCACUAGGGCCCGAGUGCCAUGAUUUCAGAUCUGAACCUAUUAUGUUGUCGUGAAUAUAUGUGUGUUUUAGAUCCUAUCUUGCAAGCUGUAGUCACCUACUAUGUGUUAUGACCCGGCAACCCCGGAGUGACAAUGGCCGGAACCACUCCCGGAGAUGACCAUAGUAUGAGGAGUUCAUGUAUUCACCACGUGUUAAUGCGUUUGUCUGGUUCUUUAUUAAAAGGAGAACCUUAAUAUCCCGUAGUUUCCAUUAGGACCCCGCUGCCACGAGAGGGAUGGACAAUAGAUGUCAUGCAAGUUCUUUUCCCUAAGCACGUAUGACUACAUAUGGAAUACAUGCCUACAUUAGAUUGACGAACGGGAGCUAUUACAUAUCUCUCCGUGUUAUAGCUGUUACAUGAUGAAUCACAUCCGGCAUACUCAUCCAUCACCGAUCCACUGCCUACGAGUCUUUUACUACUGGUCCUUGCUACGUUACUUUGCUGCUACUGCUACUGUUGCUGCUGUUACUCUGUUGCUACUGCUGUUACUCUAUUGCUACUGUUGUUACUCUGCUGCUACUGCUGUUCCUUGCUCCUGCUGUUACUAUGCUGCUACUGCUACUGCUACUGCUGUUACUUUGUUGCUACUGUUGUUACUCUGUUGCUACUGCUGUCACUACUGCUGUUACUUGCUACUUUGCUAUUACCUUCUGCAACACUUUUACUGGCGCCAUUGAUACAACAAGUCAGGAAUAGUCUGCCGUCAACACACCACUUUCUGGCACCGUUGCUAUCAUACUACUUUGCUACUGAUACUUUGCUUGCAGACACUAAUCUUUCAGGUGUGGUUGAAUUGACAACUGAGCUGCUAAUACUUGAGAAUAUUCUUUCGCUUCCCCUUGUGGCGAAUCAAUAAAUUUGGGUUGAAUACUCUACCCUCGAAACUGUUGCGAUCCCAUACGCUUGUGGGUCAUCAAGGCUAUUUUCUGGUGCCGUUGCCGGGGAAGCACAACUAUAUUCUCUGAGUCACUUGGGAUUGACGUCUGCUGGUCACUAUGAGGAAUCCGGAAGAUCCAAGAACUAAAGUCUUGCCCUCAACUACGAGGACAGGUAAGGAACUGUCAUCUAGCUAUGCACUUGAUUCUCCUUCAGUUAUGAGUAAGUUUGCAACAUCGCCUCCUGCUAGAAAUCUUGAUAUGUCGCCUGUGCUUGAUGAUGCUACUUCUGCUGCCUAUGAUGCCUAUGAUGAUGCAAUGCUUGAUACUAUGCCUGAUGAUGCUAUGCUUGAUACUAUGCAUGAUGAUGCUAUGCUUGAUACUGCUUUGCUUGAUGAUGCUAUGCCUGAUUCUACUUUGCCACUAGGUGCAUUCCUUGAUGCACAAAUUGCUAGAGUUGCUGCUAGAUGUGAUGAUAAUUCUGAAACUCCUGAUACUAUUGAAGUACAUCCUGCUACUAUGCCUGAAUUGCCUGUUAUAACUGAACUUUAUGUUAUGGAGGGAGACAUAGCUGAGGACUUUCUUGUGUGUAAGGAUAGCUAUGAUGUUGAGAAACUACUGCUCAAGUGGAAAUAAAAGUCUCUGAACGUUAGUAUGAAAUACGACCCGAAGUUUGCUACUUCACCUAUCUUUGUGACCGAUAAGGAUUAUGAAUUCUGUGUCGACCCUGAGUUAAUCACUCUGGUCGAAUCUGAUCCUUUUCACGGUUAUGAGUCUGAAACGGUUGUAGCCCUUCUUACCAAACUACACGAUAUAGCCACCCUAUUCACUAGUGAGGAAAAGAUCUGCCACUAAUAUAUCCUCAAGCUGUUUCCUUUCUCGCUAAAGGAUGAUGCUAAGACUUGGUUCACUUCUCUUGCUCCUGGUUGUGUGCGUAGCCCCUGGGAUAUGGCCUACUACUUCUCUGAAAAAUAUUUCCCUGCCCAUAAGAAGCAAGCUGCCUUGCAGGAAAUAUGCAACUUUGCUCAAGCUGAAGAAGAGAGUCUCCCACAAGCUUGGGGGAGGCUCAUCCAGCUACUGAAUGCUUCGCCUGAUCACCCUCUUGAGAAGAAUGAAAUACUUGAUAUCUUCUAUAAUGGGCUUACCGAUGCUUCUGAAGACCACCUAGAUAGUUGUGCCGGUUGUGUUUUUAGGGAACGAACCGUAGAACAAGCUGAGAUUCUACUGAAUAACAUACUGUGCAAUGAGAAUGCUUGGACUAUUCCCGAACCACCUCCUAAGCCAACUCCGAAGAAAAGAGGUAUUCUAUUCCUCAGUCCUGAAGAUAUGCAAGAAGCCAAGAAAUCUAUGCGAGAGAAAGGCAUUAAAUCUGAAGAUGUCAAAAAUCUACCACCUAUCGAAGAGAUCCAUGGUCUCGAUAACCCGAUACAAGUAGUAGAAAUAAACUCUUUCCGUAGGUUUGAUGAGAGUGAUAUUCCUUUUGAUAAACCUGCUAGCUUAUGCAUGGAUGAAUUUGAUAACUUCGUUGCCAAACAACAAAGUUUCAAUGAUUAUGUUAGCAGACAAUUGGAACAUAAUGCUCGUAUGCUUAGUCAUUUAAGUGCUUGUGUGGACAGAAAUGUCAAUGAUCUUAAGCUUCUGAGUAAACAUGCCUCUAUGGUUACUACUCAGGUAGAACAAGUACUUAAGGCUCAAAAUGACUUGCUCAAUGAGUUGAAUGACAAUUCUGUCAGAGUCGUUACUAGAGGCGGUAGAAUGACCCAGGAACCUUUGUAUCCUGAGGGUCAUCCUAAGAGAAUUGAACAAGAUUCUCAAGGAGUUAGCACUGAUGCACCUAUUCAUCCUAGAAAGAAUAAGAAAGAUGAUAGGAACCUGCACGCUAGCAACCCUGUUGCUGCUACACCUGAUAGUCCAAACGAUGUCUCUGUUGCUGAUGCUGAAACACAAUCUUGUGAUGAACAUGAGCCUAAUGAUAAUAUAAAUAGUGAUGUUCAUGAAGAUGCUCAACCUAGCAAUGAAAAGUAUGUGGAGAUUGAACAUGUUGGUCUUGAUAACCCACAUCCUAAGAAUAGAAGAUACGAUAAGAAUGACUUCACUGCUAGGAAGCACGGUAAAGAAAGGGAACCAUGGGUUCAGAAACCCAUGCCCUUUCCUCCCAAACCAUCCAAGAAAAAGGAUGAUGAGGAUUUUGAGCGAUUUGUUGAAAUGAUCAGACCUGUCUUUCUGCAAUUGCGUUUGACAGAUAUGCUCAAAAUGUCUCCAUAUGCUAAGUACAUGAAGGAUAUUGUGACUAAUAAGAGGAGGAUACCUGAGGUUAAGAUUUCCACCAUGCUUGCUAAUUAUACCUUCAAGGGUGGAACUCCUAAGAAACUAGGUGAUCCCGGUGUGCCCACUAUACCUUGCUCCAUUAAAGGCAACUACGUUAGAACUGCGUUAUGCGACCUUGGAGCCGGUGUUAGUGUUAUGCCUCUCUCUCUUUAUCGUAGACUUGAACUGGAUAAGUUGACACUCACUGAAAUCUCUCUGCAAAUGGCCGACAAAUCAACUGCUUUCCCUAUCGGCAUUUGCGAGGAUGUGCCUGUUUUUGUUGCUAAUGUCACUAUCUUAACAGACUUUGUUAUCUUGGAUAUUCUCGAGGACGAUGCCAUGGCGGUCAUCCUCGGAAGACCAUUUUUAAACACUGCAGGGGCUGUUAUAGAUUGCAACAAAGGCAAUGUCACUUUCCAUGUCAACGGUAAUGAGCAUACGGUGCACUUUCCGAAAAAACAAUUUCGAGUACAUUGCAUCAAUGCUAUCGAAAAAACUUCAUUGAUUCUUGUUGGGAGCUUUGAAUGCCCUAUACAUCGUGUCAAGAUGAAGUAUGAUUUGCUUGUUGGGGAGAUACACAUCCCCAUUGAGGUGAGCUAGUGACUAUUCAAAAAUUCUCCGUUCUCUUUUGCGAUUUGAAAAAGUUUGUCAAGGAGACUUGAUCAACCUCACUGACGGGUUGUUUCGAUGACCAUGAGAUGGAUGAAUCGAGGAGUCACCAACCUCUUUUCCAAGCUUUCACCUUUGGUUGCUUAGAAGAAAAAUGAUAGAUUUAGUUUAGUUUUCCCUGUUUUCUGUUUUAGCGUCCGGUAGGAAAGUACCCCGAAAAUAAAAUUUCUCCGAACGUAUUGAAAAUCAAGUAUGAUUUUUUCUAGAUUUUUUGAAAAAUACUGAGACGAAGAGCUUGUGUGGGGGCUGAACCAGUGGGCCACAAGCCCUGAUGGCGCGGGCACCCCCUGGCCGCGCCACCCAGGCUUGUGGGGCCCACAGGCACCCCCUCCACUCAUUCUUGCUCUUAUCUCCUUCUCUUUCCUCAAGAAAAAAUUGUUUCGCAGCUCAAACCCGUGUUCUUGCUCCUCUUGCAGGGAUUUUCAAUCUCUUUGCUCAAAUCACCAUUCUCCGAAUUGUUGGGAAAUUACUCCUUGGUAAGUGACUCCUCUAUUGGUCCAAUUAGUUUUUGCUCUAGUGUCUUAUACUCCGCGUAUUUUUGCUGCCUUGGUGACCAUGUUCUUGAGGUUUGCAUGCUGAUUUUAGCUAGUCCCAAGUAGUUUUGAUGCGUAAUAUGGCCUCUAGGCACUGGUUGGAGUAGUUGCUACGAGUUUCGUUGGGCCUUAUUCACUUUUCCUUAGAGUCACUAGAAAUUUCAGAAAUUUUUAGAGAUAGAAAAGGGAAAAGAUGAGGAGGUUCUUAAGAGGCUCUUCAAGCCGUGACCCCAAGGAUGAUGGAAGUGAGAAGAAGCCCAAGUAUCUGGUUCCUCGAGUCACAGAAGUUCGAGCGUGCGAGUGGCCAAGCGACGUGUUCUUACGCGCCGCUGGAAUUUAUGAGGACUUUUAUCACUUGGUGGAAAACGCAGGCCUUACCGCCUUCGUUGAACAUAAGUGUCCGCAAUACCUCCUCCUCACUAAUAUCUUCGUACAAAGCUUUAACUUUUAUCCGAGGAAGAACCCUCCCAUGGUUGAGUUCAAACUUUAUGAUAUCCCCCAGCGCAUGUCACUCCAAGAUUUUUGCAAUGUUUGCAAAUUACCUUACAUUGGGGAUAUUCAUGAACCUCGUCCAUGGGACUUGGAAGCUUUCAUCGAUACAAUUGCUGUAGGAGAGGAGAGAGGAGUGUCUUGCGCUAGAGCUGCUAGCAUUCAUUUUCCCGUGCUUCAGUACUUCUCAUUAUUUGUCGGAAAAUGUUUGAUUGGCCGUCAGAAAGCUGGGUGACUUAGUUCCCCAGAUCUUGCGGUCUUGCGCUAAGCCCUUUAUAACGAUAGAACUUAUAGCUUGGGCGCUAUAGUAGCUCAACGGUUAAACCGGAACCGUUCUAAAGGUGUUGUCUAUGGAGGUAUCUAUGCUACCCGUCUUGCCAGACACUUUGAGAUACCUAUUAGAAUAGAGGAGGAAGAAUAGAUUCUUCUUCCCGAGAGAUAUCUAGAUUAUGAUAGCAUGGUUCGCCAUGACUUUCUUGAUAGAGAUAUAAAUAAAAGGAUGAUUUAUAACCUGGUAUUUAGUCAUGGUACUCGUGAGACUAUUACUUUGCCUGCUCCUUCUUUGUUCAAUCUUCAUGCAGGCAGGUACAUUAUUAUGCCCUCGGACAUCUACGCAUAUUGGGGCUUAGCCCAACCACAGGUGCCCGUGCCCGAGCCACCAGUCAAGUACGAGACGCCGGUUUAUCAGUGGGAGCCAGAGGAGCUCACACAGCAGUGGCAUCCUCAGUCCACUCCGGAGUACCCCCGAGAUGGUUAUUUCCCUCCUUGGGAGUAGACCAACUUAGGCAAAAAGCCUAAUCUUGGGGGAGUACGUGUUUCUCACCGAAUUUACAUUCUUGCUUAUGCUUUCACUUUGUUCGUCGGUGUUCACACUUUGCCACUGUAUCAUCCAUGCUAGUUUAUUUUAUUUUUCUAUUUUUCUUUUCGUGUGUUUGUCUAGUUUGAGAAAACCCCAAAAGAUUUUCUUUUUAUUCUUUUGUUUGUUGGGAGCUUUCCCGUGUAAAUAGUUUUCUUUUUCUUUGGGUCAAGGUAGAAGACCAUGGUUACAAUGUUUAGUGGCUCUCGCAUGCAUACCUGUUUAGCUAUUAAAGAGCCAUAUUACUUUGUCUUCUCCUUUGUGUUUGCCUGCAGAUUCCAGCUUUAGUACAAUACACGAGCACGCUUAUUAUUGUUCACAUCGUUCGAUCGUGCAAGUGAAAGGCGAUAAUGACGAUAUAUGAUGAAGUGACUGAGCCUGGAAAAGCUGGUAUGAACUCGAUCUAUUUUGUUUUUGUAAAUAUGACUAGCUCAUCAUGCCUGAUUCAGCUUUGUUCUGAGAGAAACAUGUUUGCAAUGACAACUUAGAGAUCAUAGUUGCUUAUGCCAUGCUAACUUAGCUAGGAUCUUAUAAUAGUUUGUCUUGGAUGCCCACAUGAAUUUUGAGAUGACUGUGUUGUAGUAUGAUAGGAUGGUAUCCUCCUUUGAAUGAUUUGAGUGGCUUGACUUGGCGCAUGUUCACGCAUGUAGUUGAAACUAAAUCCACAUAGCCUCUAUGAUGUUCAUGUUCAUGGUGAUUUAUGUCCUACUCAUGCUUGCACUCAAUGUUAGUUAAUCUCAAUGCAUUUUGAUGACUGUUGUCGCUCUCAAGUUGGUCGCUUCCCAGUCUUUUGCUAGCCUUCACUUGUACUAAGCGGGAAUACUGCUUGUGCAUCCACUUCCAUAAACCCAAAGUUGUUCCAUAUGAGUCCACCAUACCUACCUAUAUGAGGUAUCUACCUGCCGUUCCAAGUAAAUUUGCAUGUGCCACUCUCUAAAUCUUCAAGAAAUAAUCUGUUUUGCAUGCCCGAACCGCUCAUGUGGUGACAGGGGGCUAUCAGUAUCUCCCAUGCUAGGCGUGUUAUCCUCGAUAUGUGUUUAUUCACUAUCAUUCACGAGAAAGGGGCCGGUAAUUGGAAUUCCCAGUUACAUGCUCAAAUCGAAAAGAUAAUUGCAAACAAAACUCCCCCAGGAUUGAUGUUGGUAUGGACGGUACCCGAGGAUUCGGCUAGCCGUGGAGUGUGAUUGAUUGGUGGUGGGGGAGUCAAAACUUUACUUUUCUGUUUGGGAACCGCCUAUAGCAUGUGUAGCGUGGAAGAUGUUGAGAACUCUUAGUCAUUGCGUUGACAAUGAAAGCACGCCACCCAAAAUUAUUAUCUCUCUUUUCAAAGCUUGAGCUCUGGCACCUCUGCAAAUCAAUGCUUCCCUCUGCGAAGGGCCUGUCUAUUUAUGUUCCUGGCGAGUCAUCCUCCUCUUAUAAAAGCACCAAUUAGAGAGCACCUCUGUCGUUUUUAUGCUUUGCUUUUAACUGUGUUGAGUAUGACUGUGACUGGAUCUUCUUUGCCAUGACUUACAAUGUUUAGUCAGCCCUUGGUCUUUCAAGGUGCUCUGCAUUUAUGUUUUGCGGUCUCAGAAAGAGCUAGCGAGAUACCAUCUAUUCGUACUGGUUCAUGUUGUUUUGAUUGAAGUGUUGACAUUUGAGGCUUAUUAUUAUUUGCUCGCUAGCUGAUUAUGACAUUGAUAUGAGUUUACCGUGAGACCUGUAUGUCAUUUGCUUAUGUCGUUAGCUUGUGAUCUUGCUAAAAUUCUGGUUAUGAGUUAGACAUAGUUGCAACAACAAGACCAAACAGAGUUCGUCAAAGUUUUUCUUUUGUCUCUUUUUGUUUGUCAUCUGAAUUGCUUGAGGACAAGCAAGGUUUUAAGCAUGGGGGAGUUGAUACGUCUCCGUUGUAUCUACUUUUCCGAACUCUUUUGCCCUUGUUUUGGACUCUAACUUGCAAGAUUUGAAUGGAACUAACCCGGGCUAACGCUGUUUUCAGCAGAAUUGCCAUGGUGUUGUUUUUGUGCAGAAAUAAAAGUUCUCGGAAUGACCUGAAAAUUUACGGAGAAUUUUUCUGGAAUUAAUGAAAAAUACGUGCGCAAAGAUCCAUCGGAGCGGGUGAACCAGUGGGUCACAAGCCCACUGGCCGCGGCCACCCCCCAGGCCGCACCAACCAGGCUUGUGGAGCCCACAGAGCUCCACCGCCUCCAAACUCAGCUCUAUAUAUUCCAUUUCGCCCGGAAAAAAAUCAAGGAGAAGGAUUCAUCGCAUUUUACGAUACGGAGGCGCCGCCACCUCCUGUUCUUCAUGUGGAGGGCAGAUCUGGAGUCCGUUCUGGGCUCCGGAGAGGGGAGAUCGUCGCCAUCGUCAUCAUCAACCUUUCUCCAUCUCGAAUUCCAUGAUGCUCUUCACCGUUCGUGAGUAAUAUCAUCGUAGGCUUGCUGGACGGUGAUGAGUUGGAUGAGAUCUAUCAUGUAAUCGAGUUAGUUUUGACGUGGAUUGAUCCCUAGUAUCCACUAUGUUAUCAGAUUGAUGUUGCUACUACUUUUCCAUGCUUAAUGCUUGUCACUAGGGCCCGAGUGUCAUGAUUUCAGAUCUGAACCUAUUAUGUUGUCGCCAAUAUAUGUGUGUUUUAGAUCCUAUCUUGCAAGUUGUAGUCACCUACUAUGUGUUAUGACCCGGCAACCCCGGAGUGACAAUAGCCGGAAUCACUCCCGGAGAUGACCAUAGUAUGAGGAGUUCAUAUAUUCACCACGUGUUAAUGCGUUGGUCCGGUUCUUUAUUAAAAGGAGAACCUUAAUAUCCUGUAGUUUCCAUUAGGACCCCACUGCCACGGGAGGAUGGACAAUAGAUGUCAUGCAAGUUCUUUUCCCUAAGCACAUAUAUCUACAUACGGAAUACAUGCCUACAUUAGAUUGACGAACGGGAGCUAGUUACAUAUCUCCCCGUGUUAUAGCUGUUACAUGAUGAAUCACAUCCGGCAUACUCAUCCAUCACUGAUCCACUGCCUACGAGUAUUUUACUACUAGUCCUUGCUACGUUACUUUUCUCCUACUGCUACUGUUGCUGCUGUUACUCUGUUGCUACUGUUGUUACUCUGUUGCUACUGCUGUUACUCUGCUGCUACUGCUGUUCCUUGCUACUGCUGUCACUACUGCUGUUACUUGCUACUGCUGUCACUACUGCUGCUACUUGCUACUUUGCUGUUACCUAUUGCAACACUUUUACUGGCACCAUUGAUACAACAAGUCAGGUAUAGUCUGUCGUCAACAGACCACUUUAUGGCACCGUUGCUAUCAUACUACUUUGCUACUGAUAAUUUGCUUGCAGACACUAAUCUUUCAGGUGUGGUUGAAAUGAAAACUCAGCUGCUAAUACUUGAGAAUAUUCUUUCGCUUCCCCUUGUGGCGAAUCAAUAAAUUUGGGUUGAAUACUCUACCCUCGAAAAUUGCUGCGAUCCCAUACGCUUGUGGGUCAUCACUCUUAUCAUACUUCUCUUGGAUUUGAUCUAAAACUUGGAUCCCUUUGGCUAGGCUUGUCUCCAUCUAGAUGAUCUCGAGUUCCACAUGUGUUAGGGCUAUGGUGAUUCUUGUAAUAAUUUUAUUUAUUAGCCGUGGAUCUCUUGAAACGAAUCUAGCAGUUUUUGUGGGUUUACAUAUAUUCAGAUCUGAAAGUCAAUAUCCCUAGCGGUACUAUCGCCAGCCUGGCGGUACUACCGCCAGGACCCCCAGUGGUACUACCGCCAGGGGGAGCGGUACUACCGCUAGGAUCCUAGCGGUACUACCGCGAGGAGGAUAAUUUUUUUUUUUCUGUUUCUUUGUUUCUCUUGGCAAUAUGUGUUUCUUCUUAUGAUUCUUUUGACCAUUCCCAUGACUCCUUUUGUCGCUCUUUUUUGAAGUGUGUGUGUCUUGUGUGUCAGAGGUGGUGCUCGCCGCUCGAAUCCCGCACGUACCACCCAACCUAAGCAGUAUCGCACUCCAGAGGCUCUAAAAGGUUCCACCACUUCCAGUAUGAAUCCUAAGAAGAGGUCCUUCAAGAAGACUGCUACCAAGAACCAAAGGAUCAACGUUCGCACUAUGGCCCCUAGGGGUUUUCUAGCACUCCGCACCCACAAUCCCUAUGUUGAAGACAAGGCUCAGAUUAAGAACAUCGAUUAUGUUUGGUCACGGGAGCACUGCAUGAUCUAUCAUGACAUCAUCAAGCCCUUCAAGAAGAUCUUUGUCCCAGUGCAGUGGAUCGACCUUGCUCACCUUCGGCGGAAUCCAGACUACUUUGGCGAGGCUCUCUACUUGAUUGAAAAGCUUGGCCUUACAGAUAUCAUCACCUUCAGACACGACUUUGAUCCAGAUAUUAUGGCCCAGUUCUAUGUCCCUGUUCACUUUGAACCUGAUGACGUGCGCACCAUGACCUGGAUGACCGAUAAUCAGAAGCUGACUGGUUCCUCGACGGAGUUCAUGCAGUUCCUCAAAGUCGACUUUUGGGGGGAAGAACAUGUUCUUGGGAUGCGUCCUCAUGCUCCUUCUUCGUCUACUUUCACCCCCAAGGACAGGCUGCAACAACAUUUCAUCAAGAAAGGUGUGCUCCCCAAGCAUCUCGAUAUCAUGCAUCGGGUCUUCCGCCACUCUCUAUUCCCUCGUAUUGGCAACUAGGACGAGGUGCAUGGUCAUCUAGCUGAGAUGCUUCUGCUGUGUGAGGAGGCAAGGACUAAGGAUACUGCACCUCUCGACAUUGCCCAUGUGAUGUUCAAUGAGCUCUGGAACUGCAUCAUGAACCAUAAGUUUCCCAUCUACGGGCCUUACGUGUUUGUCUAUAUUCACAAGAGGUGGCACGAUAUCUAUAUGAUAGAUCCCUUCCCUAUCAUGGCUGACUAUUUUGUGCAUGAUCCUAUGAAGCUCCGUAUCAAGGACAAAUGAGCCAACCCAUCAACUUCUUCUCAGCCCAUGGACACGGACACAGAGACUGCUGCUGGAGGAGGACCUCCUUCAUAGACCUGCUCUUCUGCUAUGCCAUCUUGGGCCGUGAAACUGAAGGAUCAAAUGAAGACUCUCUUCUGCAUGCAGGCAAAGGGACAAUAUCAGUCUCAUGUGGCCAAGAAGGAGAACCGUUAGAGGCACAAGCGUGUCUUAAGGACCCUUGAUGUGGCUAUCUCAAGCGGCUCAGAGGACGACAUCACUCGAGAGUCUGACUGGAUGAGGGCUCAAGGUUACCAAUGGGCUGGGUCUGAUGCUGAGGAGGAGGCUUCUGAGGAGGACAUUGAGGAGGAGCAGGACGAGCAGGAUCCGGAUGCCACGGACGCAUCUGGGGAUGAUGAGGAUGCGGAGUGACCACCUGUGUCAUCAGGUGUGCCCCCUUUUUGGUGUCUUAUGCCAAAGGGGGAGAGAGUCUAGGAGCUGGAUUUGCGCUUUGCUUAUCUUUAUCGUGUUUUCUUUGAACUUGGUUUGAUCGGUUUUGCUAUCUUUGCUACGUGUGAUAUGAGACUUGGUUUUAUUGUGAGACUUAUUUUCUAUCAUAUGCUGUGUGUCAUAUGCUCUUCAAUUAUCUCUAUUAUUUAUCUUUAUGUUCACAUGCUUUCUUCCGUGCAAAUCCGGUAUUGUCAUCAAUCCACCAAAAAGGGGGAGAUUGUUAGGGCAUAUUUGUGCCUAAGUAAUUUUGGUGAUUGAUGAGAGUACCUUAAAGGACUAAUCGUGUGCAUUAAGAUUUCAGAUAAUACAUAUCAACAACACAAGAUGAUUCGGCACCCUCCAUGGAACAGAAGCACGGUGUUUGUUCGGGAUAUUAUCUGUUGAUAACCCGCCCUAAUUGGGCCGGGUCACCAAAGCGGGCGACUCAUCUAAGAUGUAGUUUGGGCCUUGGUCUGGUAGAGCCAAGAGUAGUAUGGCGGUUUAUGACUUUCGGAAGGAGUCCAUAAUAAAGAAGGUCUCCAAGCUUCGGAAGGAGGCGACUUAAAGAUCGCAAGGGUCACGUUUUGCGUAAAGAAAAGGAUCCUUGUAAACCCUAAGGAUUCAACCUGUAUAUAAAGGCGAGUCCCAGGGGAGAAGAGGACAGGUUAGAAAUCAUUGAUUGCUAGGUCUGGCGAGUUACGCCCUCCUUGUAAUCGAGACUCCAUCAAUACAACUCAAAGCAGGACGUAGGCCUUGGACUCCUCACGAGGGGCCGAACCUGGGUAAAUCGCCGUCUCUCUCCCGUUCAACCCCUUUGAGUCGCCACGAAAGUGCGAUGGCUCUAGUACUAAGUCCUUUCACGAGGACAUCUGCCAUGACAAAACCACGACAGUUGGCGCCCACCGUGGGGCCUGCGCACGGUGGAGUUGAGUUCUCAAAGGGAGCCCUACCAGGGUGUGGGAGCUACGCGACGGGGCUCAUGACCCGGAGCCGCCGUGGGAAGUUCUACAUCAACAACCUGCAAUGGGGGCCCGAGGCGGAUUCGAUCAAAUCUGGUUACAGGGUCCCCUUCGGCAAGAUCAACGUCUUCAUCGGCAUGAUUGGAUCAUCCGUGCCUGAGCCGGACAUCUCCACCGACAUCGUCGAGCCGGCCAGGUACGUCCGCCACUAACGACGUCAAAUCUGACUUGCCCGAUCUUUGUUGGAUUCACGCAGUGAUCUGAGGAGCCAGAACACUCAGCGACCCAGGAAAUCACACCCGUCAACACGGAUGACGAAUCAUCCAUGGGUGAUUCAGAUUCAAUCCGGUCUCUACAUGGGGAUUGUCUCGGGGGCUUGUCGUUGGCCAUGGACCCCGAAGCCCUUGACCGAACCCGCCACCAGAUCGCUAUUUACAUGGCUGGGGCAACUCAACCCUCGCCAAACCUGGCAGGCAGGGAUGGGCCCGGUGAGACAUCUAGAAGCCCGGCCGCUGUCUUGGUGGAAUUAGCAGCAGAAAUUACGAGGCUUAUGGUGACUCCCAUCACACCGGAAAACCAGGAGGCAGUAAACACGGAAUUGGCGAAGCUAAGAGAAGCAGUGGCAAAAGCUCAUCGGGAUGCCGAGGUGGAAUCUGCCAGAAUCGAGACCCGGCAGGCUCAAAUUACCGCCGAGAUAAUUCGCUUAAAUACUGACAACUGGCGGCUCGAAAGACACCAGCGCGCACCUGACGACGUCCAUC
rnacentral:lncRNA from 1 species